CUCUUCUUUCCCACGUUCCUGCUCUGCACUCUGCUUCUCACCUCCGUUGCUGCUGUCUCUCUUCUGAACCUCUGCUACUGUUCAGCUCUGAACCUCUGCAUCUGUGUUGAAUGUGCUUUCGGUGUUUUUGAGAUGUGUAAAACUGUUCAAUAUUCAGCUUACAGUUUGUGAAACUUUUGUGAUUCAGUGGUGUCUCUAUGUUAUACAUAUAGCCUGUGUACUGCUUGCUGCAGAAAAUUUCAGUUUGUAAGUUCCUGUGAUAGCUCCAGUACAUAUGAUUUUUAUGUUGUCUCAAGUACCUGUUAUAUAUAUACAUAUGUGUGUGUCUGCGAUGUGAUACAUUUAUGUUCUGUCCUACAACCUUGUUUCUUCCCCCUGUUAAUUGUUAUAUAUAUAUAUAUAUAUAUAUAUAUAUAUAUAUAUAUAUAUGUUCAUGUCUUUUUAAUUCCUUUGUUUGAUGUUUGCUUGUUUUAGCAUUUUCUUUCUCAAGCAUAACAAAAAUAUCAAAAAGACAGAGUAAAGAUAAUCUUCAUCUCCCUUUGCUUCUUUGUUAUUUUCUUUGUUGUUGAUCCUUGUUAGUGUUAGGUUUAUUUUCUGUUUUNNNNNNNNNNNNNNNNNNNNNNNNNNNNNNNNNNNNNNNNNNNNNNNNNNNNNNNNNNNNNNNNNNNNNNNNNNNNNNNNNNNNNNNNNNNNNNNNNNNNNNNNNNNNNNNNNNNNNNNNNNNNNNNNNNNNNNNNNNNNNNNNNNNNNNNNNNNNNNNNNNNNNNNNNNNNNNNNNNNNNNNNNNNNNNNNNNNNNNNNNNNNNNNNNNNNNNNNNNNNNNNNNNNNNNNNNNNNNNNNNNNNNNNNNNNNNNNNNNNNNNNNNNNNNNNNNNNNNNNNNNNNNNNNNNNNNNNNNNNNNNNNNNNNNNNNNNNNNNNNNNNNNNNNNNNNNNNNNNNNNNNUGUUAUAUAUAUACAUAUGUGUGUGUCUGCGAUGUGAUACAUUUAUGUUCUGUCCUACAACCUUGUUUCUUCCCCCUGUUAAUUGUUAUAUAUAUAUAUAUAUAUAUAUAUAUAUAUAUAUAUAUAUAUGUUUAUGUCUUUUUAAUUCCUUUGUUUGAUGUUUGCUUGUUUUAGCAUUUUCUUUCUCAAGCAUAACAAAAAUAUCAAAAAGACAGAGUAAAGAUAAUCUUCAUCUCCCUUUGCUUCUUUGUUAUUUUCUUUGUUGUUGAUCCUUGUUAGUGUUAGGUUUAUUUUCUGUUUUCAUCAUUGAAUUGGGUCACCUAGAUUUAGCCGAACGUAGUCGUCGCCGCCUAGUCCCUGUGGAGAACACGACAUCCGUAGUUUGGGGCAUAAAAACCCCGCUAUAUUACAUUAGAUCAGAUAGCACAAACCAUCAAAGGUGUUGUUAGAUCUCCUUGUGAUACCAAAACCAGAGCGGCAUUCAUAUGCGACAUAGAACUGAAAGGCGUCUCCCUCCGAGUCGAAUACCAUCCCUACUUUAGGUAUCCACUCUGGAUCCAUAUCAACCGGCUUAAAGACAUCGCCCUUAGCAAGGUUUUUCUCCUUGUCGCCAUCUUCUUGCACAUCUCCUUCAUUGGAUGAUUCAGUGCUAUAGACUUCCUCUUCCAUUGGUCCCAAAAAAUAUAUUCGGCCUGAAAGAAGAUGAGCAAUAUCAUAAACCGUGUAUAGAUACAGUUGACAGAAGCAUGCUAAGCAUUUCUACAGCAGUUUUGGUUCAUAAAUAAUUUUACAACUUUCUUGAAUAAUUAUUAGUAUGGUGUACUUCUAUUUCUAUGUAGUACAGCUUGUUUGGCACCCAGACUUUCAUUUCAUUUGGUGGAAAUGAAAUGAAAUCUCAUUCCUAGGAGUAUUUCAUUUAGUGGGAUUUGGAUUCCAAGUUGAAUAUUCUUGUUUGGCUACCAGAGGAUUUGUGAAAUGAAUGUCAUAUGAUGUUUGGCUGCUAUGUGCAUAUCUCAACAUGUACAUUCAACACAUUUACAAUCUAGAAAUGAUAAUCAACCCCCAAAAUAUUGUGCAUUUUCUCAAUGAUCAAGAUAAAACAGAUCGAGACAACAUCAUCUUCACACAUUCACACAUUCAAAUAUGUCAAAGAUAAUAAUCUGAAGUGCAGAUAAUAAUAGUGACAAGAUCUAUGAAGGACAAUUAAAGGCUGAAAUUUGCGGUCAUUGAAAACCAUGAUCUUCGAAUGUUCAUAGCUUGUUAAGCACAAUAUGGAAGAUAAAAGACUACAACUUGCCAUUACAGAUGCAUUAGGGCCAUAAAAAAUAAAUCUUUGCAUCCAACAAAGAGGGUUGAACUUGCAUGCAGAUCUUGGUUGAACUUGUGACUUCUUUGUUGCUCUGCAGAUAUCAUGAAAAGCAUGUAAGCAAACCUACUAUAGUAGUUAGCAAAGAGAAGCUUCUAAAACACCAUCUUAAUUUAUUAAUUGCCACAAUUGCAACACAGUCAUAUAUUGUCUUGUUUCACUACCACAGCUUAGAAAGCCAUAAGCAUAAGAUCUUGGUUCACACAGCCUACAAGGUUCAUGUUUGCUGCUAUACUUUACUCACCAUGCCAUUAACAUUACAGAACUACAAAAUCUGACCAUGACAUUGAUUAUAUAGCUGAACAUGACAUCGAAAUUACACAAUCUGAACCUAAACACCUUCUGAGCAUGCCAUUACAAAAGCAUUUUCCUCCAUUUAAGCGUUGAUCCAGACAGCAAAAUUUUCUACCUCUAGUUAGAAGAGUACUACUACAGAAGCAUGUCAAACGGACAAAUCAAAGUAUGAGGAGACACCAGUUGGCUUAGCUACCUGUUGAAACAUCAAAACUAAUAGCAUCCAUCAACGUAUGUGGUACGUGUGUAUGUACAUGGUUGCCGCCAUCCUCCCCAUUAAAUGCUACUGGUAAAGAGUACUGCCAUGUUUUGAGAGUGGAGAGUAAUAUAUUGUUGUUUGGGUAUCAAAUGUUAAGCUCAUCUUGCAUUUCUACUUGUAUUCAUACACCUUUCCUUCUCACACUCCACUUAGCUAGGAGUAACAAACUGUAUGACAAAAGAGUACAAGGCGCACUUACUUCCUCUCAAAGAAAACUUAGUUAGUACGCAUUAUUAUUACAAGACAUUCACUACAAAAAAUAACACAAUAACAAUUUUGAUCAUGUUUCAGGCUUCUUGUCAGAAAACGCAGAUUAUUGCAUCAGACUACAUAUGCGAAAUUCAGUUUCAAAUAGGAGACUAUGAAAAAGUGUCAAAAUGCAUAGGUUUUAGAAGGCAUAAGCUAGUAGAGUAGCAUGUGGUAAUGACUAGCAAUGAACAAGCAGAGCACCAUAUACAAGCUUAAUUAACUUCUGGGAUAUCUCUGCUACCAUCCUAGAGAGGCAAACACAAAAAGGUGCAGCUAGCAGAGAGCCAGAAACAAGCUUGAUAGAACAACUACAUGCUGAGCGCGGUGAACCAGAUUAAACAUAUAUGCCUAUAUGACGCACAUGAUUCAAGCUCAACAACAAGGCCAUGUUUACAGUAAAGAAAUCUUCUUCUGGUAACCGAAGAAGAUUAAAGGCACAUUCUUCUUACUAUCAUUGCUACCACUAUUGUUGUUUGGCCACACAGAUUAUUCCUUUCAGCAUCUAACAUGAUGUGAACAAUACAAGAUGAAUUACAAGGCAAAAAUCUUCUUCAGAAGAAUAUGUUUAUAAUCAACACAUUAAGGCCAUGUUUACAAUUACUUGCUGUUGGAGCUGUCUUUGCUACUCCCUCCCUCCCUCCCUCUCUCUCGCUCUCUCUCUCUCUCUCUCUCUCUCUCUCAAUCCCAUGGUACAAAGAAAGGUGAGGAGCUUUUGCCCCUGCUACACAAGUGCAGAUAUACUAGCUCGAUGAAAUGAACCUUGUUUAGUUUAGUGAUUUGAUCUCCAAUAAUGUUUUCAUACGAAUAAAGUGUAGAUAAAUGUCAUCAAAGAUACCCAUGGAUCGAUCCUACAAAUCAUAUGGCAUUUGAACCACACACAUAUAUGAACAUUAAACUUCAGCGCGAGAUCUUCUAAUGUUGCUGCACCAUCAGCUGGCACGCGAGCAGAACAAUAGCUACGACCUGCACGGUGAUCACGUAAUCCUUCACACAAUUUACUUCCCUCAACACUUUCUUCUUAUGUUUUUAGUUCAAUGGUCCCAAAUUCAAUGCCAAAAUUUAGGAGGCAUUAAACAUGAUAAGUACAUACAAAUAUGAAGAGGGGGGAAAUAAUAAUGCUAGACCUAUAUCUAACUCUCGUGGAUAAAACAACAAUUUUCAGUACGAGGCACUAUUUUGCAAGAAGAAGCUCAGGUUCUUACACUAGCACAGGACUAUAAAAACUAGACUGAAUGAGAAGCAACAGAAGCCCUUUAACUAUUGCACAAUAAUUUGUGAACCCGACAAAUGAGAAGCAACAGAAGCCCAUUACAGAAGCAACAGAACCCGACAAAUGAGAAGCAACAGAAAACCUGAGCUUCUUCUGGCAUUGUCUGGCUCCCAUCAUUGGCAUCAAUGCCAACGACCUGUAAUGGCCUGUUUGGAUGUAGACACUCGGAGCGAGUAUUCGGAAUUGGCAUUGUCGGUCCCGAAUGCCACCAUUUGGAUGGUCUAAACAUUCGUCUCUGGAAUUCGGUCCCAAUAUCGAGAGGCCAACCCGAGCACUGGCUAACCCCCUCGCAAAUUCAGAGCCCCGACCCUCCGUAUUGGGUUGCAUUGGCUGGCUUAUCUUUUCGUCGUUCUCGCACACUGAAAAAAAAACGAAGCGCUAGGAGAUCGAGGUCAAUCCGCCUUGUUGCCGCCUCUUCGACCGACGGCUUGGCCGUCCAGGCCACCGGUGCUGCCUCCCCGGCCGGCGGAAACACUCCUCCGUCCAUCCGCGACCUCUCCGCUGGCAACCGCCAUAGAUGGAGUUUGCCGCUGACCACCGCCCCUGGUUCCUCACCACAUCGUCCACGGGAUCCCUGUCUCCGUUGAAUGUCGCCGUUGUUUACCGUCUCUUCUCGAUGAACGGCACAACCUUCUUGGCAGAACCGACCAUGUGUGGCAAUGGCGUGCGCGGGAGCCAGUGGCCCGGAGCCGAGCGCUGCAGGCCUCAGCGUACACAAGCUUCUGCGGCAUCUCAAGCUGCACCCGCUCUGCACGUACCACGCAUCUUCUCGAGCCACUGCCUAAUCCUCCCACUUCAGCCAAGACAUGCGGCUGUCCGCCGUGGACUAAGGCCGCCACGCCCAUGAGCUGCUCGACUAAAUGCCAACCCAUUCAGUUGCGGCAUAUCAUGACACUCAACAGUUGUCAAAUUUUAAAACUGAUGCCAACCCAUUCAGCUUGACGUAUGGCAUGUAGGUUGUAGUAACUAACUAGAACUAGUAUAACGCCCGUGCGUUGCCACGGGCUCUUCAAAAUUUAUAAUCAGUAUCUUUCAUUUAUCAUCCCCUCAUAUUGGGUGAUUACGGGGUGCUCUAAUUAGAAACACAACAAUCAAAUAUUAGGAAAUUUCACCGAACGAACAACAACGAAUAAUACGAUAUCUAUCAAACGAAUAAAAUGAGGUCAUAUUUUUGGUCCGUCAUGCACUUCUGUUGAAAAGUGCCUAUCCCUUUUAGAAUCAACCCACUGUUUGCUCGCACGCAAAAAAAAUACAUCUUUAAAGUGGGGAACCGAUCGGUGCCAAAAAAAACUCAAACUCCUAUCCAAUCUCGACUUCGUGCUCUUCCACUUCCAUUGAUAAAGAUGGGACGUUAAGGGUUUCAUCAUGAUGACCUCGAGCAGCCGCCGACAUCCCUCCCCACAUCUACCCCUCCCCCCUGCUGCCGCUUGCACUGUCCUUGCUCCUCGAGGGAGCUAGGGACACAAUGUUCUCUAGGAUGGGCAUGACCAGAUCCACGAGGAGGCCACAUUCUUCCAUGGAAACCCAACCAAGCACACCACCCUCCGCAACCAUCCAAUCCCAGCCUAACAAAGUCAAGACCCGCCAUCGAUCCACAAAUCAGGCUCGCCGCAUCCAGGUUCACUGCAAGUCUGCGACGAGUCUGUAGUUGACAUCUUGACUUUGGCUAUCCCCACGGAAGAAUCAUCGGAUCCUGCUUACUUUUACCAUCACUUCGUCUCUUCCCAAGGCAGCGACACCACCCAGCCAAUCACCACCACCGCUUGCGGCUUGCCUACAUAAAAUCAUGAGAAAUCCCCACGGCGGUGCUGUAAGAUCACCUUGGCGACCUCGACAGUGACCGACUGGUCUAAGAUCUAAGCUAGCCGCUCUUUGUAGAAACCAAUAGAAGUAGGCAUGUGACUCAGAUUUGUUCUUUGGUGUGCAUGCGUUUCUUGCUGCCCACCAGCUCUUGUCUACAACUCGCCUAUCUCUGUACCAGCUCUUGGUCUACAACUCGCCUAUCUCCAUGCUCGAGACGACCAAGCUCGAUGCGCAAGCCGCAUACGUCUGCUAGAGCUAUAUCCAGGCCCUAUGAUUUUUGGAUCACUGGCACUAUGGGUGCCAGGACCGGAGUCGCCCUCAUCCACCAAGUGGAUCAAGGAGGCCCACCACCUAGACUCUACAUCGCAACAUUUUGUGUUUUCCUAUAAAAAGUAAAGAACCUUCUCUAAUAAACGUAAAUAUAACCUUUUGGUUUUAUAGUCUCAACUUUUCUACACUCCAAUACCAGAAGGAUUUCUUGGUUUUAUUUAAUGACCUUCUUGAAUGUCAUUCACUUAGAAAGGUAGUAAUACAAUCUGUGAUAUUAAGACAAAUUAUUAGUCAUAUUAAAGUGCAAAAGGCCCUAUAGGAGUCAAAGCAUGAUUUUUAUGGUUAUACUGUAAUUUGCAAGAUCUGAGAUUUAUGCAAGUGUACAAUUAGAGAAGAGUCAAUUAAAUAGAUUUUCACAUUCAGAAUAGUACGAUUAGCAGUAGCACUUCAAUUUUUUCAUGUUUGAUCAGCUUGCUAGGUGGUUAUCACUAAGCAUGUUGGAACGAUGAGCAUAACCUAACUUAGUUCAGUACGUGUUGCUGCAAAUUAGUUCAGUACGUACGAAGCUGUUGCUAAUUUCAAUGCCUGGCUGUUGCAAGUUUCUAAUGAAGAAGUACUUCAGGUCAAAGGUCAGGGAAUAUACACUUUUGUUAUCAUGGUUGUUUCCUUAUAGUGAACAACUUUGAUCACCACUUCAGCAGCUACUAUCUAUAAGAAGACAUUAGCUAAGUAGAUACAGGCAAAGAAAGCAUGUAGGCAAAACCAGAAUUAAAAACAUCCUUCUCAAUGGAGCUCGUGCAGUUCGGAAGACCCUAAUCAUCGAUGAGGGACCCCUCCGAUGGUAGCAUGGCGUGACAAUUGCCGUCAAUGACGACACCCAAAGUACCUUGCACAAUCCAUCGAUCCAGUUCAGAACAAUCAAGCACAUACCUUGCAAAGUGAUGUGGAUCUGAAGCAGAGGUGGGAAGGUAAAGGCUCAGGUGAGGUGGAAUGAGACGUUGAUAUAGACGUGCACGCAUGAGAAUAAGGCGGUGCCCAGGAUGGAUCUCCAUCGGAGGAGGCCGGAUCCGCGGGGAGGAGGUCGCUGUAGUACCUGCCAUCUGUGCGAUGGAUCACGGGGCUGGCAGGCAGGGGCAGGGGAUAGGAGGGAGCGGGUGGGCUAGAGCGCAGAUGGCGGGUGCCCCCGACGACGGCUGGGAAGGAUGGUGGAGGAGGUGGAUGAGGAUGGCGGCGGCGGCGUCUGCGGUUGCGCCUCGUCCGCAGCCGUGCUGGUGGUGGUCGAUGCGAGAGCCGGAUGGCGUCGGCCAGAAUCAGGCAGGGGCGACAAAGAUUUAGAGGAGAGAGAGAAUGGAGGCGAUGAGCGAUGGGAGGAAGGGCCACCGGCGAUUGGGGUGGCCUCAGAUCCGCCCUCCGUGGCCGCCUAUUUCAUGGGACGAACACCCGUGCUCACCGUCGGGCUCGCCUUCGGCCGCUGCCUCGCCGACAUUCAUGACAUAGAGCCCCUUCCUCCGAUCCCAUUUGCCAGGGAGGCAGCGCCAUCCUUCAUCGCAGAGAAUGAGUCCACACUGAGAUCCCAACCAGAUCGUGAUUGCGCCUCCCCAAACCGCAGCGGCACAUCCCACUCCAUCAACGACCAACCUAUAUGAGGCGGAGGGUCAGUGUAGGACGCGAGCGCCGUCACCAUGGACGUGGGGGACGCCGUAGGUGGGAAGGAGGCGGCGACGGCGUCUGUGUCAGGAAGAUCGCACGAUGGCGGCGGCGUUUACUCGAGGGGAUCGAGAGGAGCUGCGUUUGGUGUCGGGUGGGUUCUUUGGUGCGUGCGUGGGGCUGGAGAUUGUGAUAGGUGAUCAGGUGAGGGCGUGCCACACCUGGAUCGAUAGCCUUACCAUACCUGGUGGUAAUUUAAAUUUAUUACCAUAUUCGAUAUUUCCCGAGUUAUGGCCUUACCAUACCUGGAUUGAUAGCCUUUGGGGUAAUUUAAAUUUAUUACCAUAUAAUUACCAUAUUCAAAAUUUCCCGAGUUAUGACCUUACGGUACCUGAAUUGAUUUAUUACUAUACGUGGAUUAAUUAUGAUUUAUUACUAUACGUGGAUAGCCUUACCAUACCUGGUGGUAAUUUAAAUUUAUUACCAUAUUCGAUAUUUCCCGAGUUAUGGCCUUACGAUACCUGGAUUGAUAGCCUUUGGGGUAAUUUAAAUUUAUUACCAUAUAAUUACCAUAUUCAAAAUUUCCUGAGUUAUGACCUUACCAUACCUGGAUUGAUUUAUUACUAUACAUGGAUUAAUUAUGAUUGAUUACCAUAAAUACGUUGGGUAUUGCCGGUCAGACGAGAAAAAAGAAAAACCGGUGGGAGAGGCUGAUGGGAGGUGGGACGAAGAAAAACCGGUUGAAAAUAAACCGGUUGAAAGUGGGGAGGACUAUUCAACCAAUUCGUCCAUUAGGAGUAGAGAUUAUGUAGUCUGCAAAUGUUAAUUGGACCCAAAUUGUAGUCUUGCUUAUGUUUGAGGGCUUAGUAGUGAUUGACUUUUUUAUUAUAACUUUCAUGUGUGUACACACCUUGGUCAAUUUUUAAAACUGAUGCAUCUUUCCAUGUGUUUAUGUGUGAGUAACUGUAAAUGUUAAGAUAGUGAGAAAUUCGAAGCUCUAUCCAUCCAAACACAAAUUGGAAUUGGUGCUCUCUUUGAAUUCCAAGCAUCAAAUAUAUGAACAUCCAAACACUAAAAUUGGAAUUGAAGAUCAGUAUCAAUGUCCCGAGAUAUUGGCAUUGGAGCCAAUACAAUGCGAAGCCCUUGAAUGUCUACAUCAUAGAGCGUAAGAGACAUCGUUUCAGCAUUGACCAGGUCAACACAUCAGUUAAUUUUUCAAUUUUCCGCAUCAAAUGUUUGGCAACGAAGCGUCGGCCGAACUUUGCGCCGGUCACGUCCACGCGCGCUCUGCCCCAGCCAUCCACCAAGCGACACGUAGGAUGUGGGCCAUCCAUCGCUGCUUCUUCAACCUCCCGCGGAUCUCGCCCCAUCCUCGUCUCCUGCCUCCAUCGUUGCAGCACGCAACACCGACGACCGCAUCUCCUGCCUCCAUCACUCCAGCUCGUGAGUAGCUCGCCGCUGGCCAUGGAAGAUCGAAAUCCCCGCCGACCAUGGAUGUAGAUCUCACCCCGCUACACUUGCAGCCCCGCUCGCCAUUAGAUGCAGCAAAGCCGUUGACCAAUCCCAUUCCCGUCGGUUUGUAACUCCCCAUGUGCCUCGUGCUUCCACCUCGCCGCCGACGAGCGGGACGGCGAUGGACGACACCAGAGGCUUCUGCAGAACUGUCGCACCCCCUCAUGCUGCAACCGUUUACAAAAAAGCUUCAUCCCCCUAGAUGAAAAGCUUCAACUGGAUGUAGAGAAAGCUACAAGGUCAGCACCAACGUGGGGGAAGCUACAACUGUUGACAUAAAAUGCUACAACCUUUGAUGAAAAAAGCUGCAACCAAAACGACACAAAAAGCCUUGACCAAGCGCUGCUAAAAAAUAGCUACAACCAUUGGUAGAAAAUCUACAACCAUUGGUAUAAAAGCUUCAACCGUAGUUGGAAAAAGCUCCAACCAUUGAGAUAGAAAGUUACAACUAGACACUAUGCAAAUCAAAAAAGUUGCAACCGCUAACAGAAAUGCUUUAAUCAUAUGUGUGAAAAGCUUCAACCGGCGACCGACGAGGGGGAAAGCCACGAGCGGUGCCGUGUUGGGGCAUGUUGGAUAUGCUACAUUUGUUUUUUGCUGGAACCGCCAUUUUCUUUUGCUACGAUCGUGUGACAUUUUUGCUGCUACUGGCACCAUGAGAACAUAUGCAAUUUUAGUGAGCUCGUCACUGGGGUAAUAUGUCCGGCGAACCAUUGCCACCGGAGAGCGCCAUCAUGCAUUGGAGCCGCAAGCGUUCCCACCGGAGCUGGAACCACAAGGCACAACUGUUGCAUCCAUAGAGGCAAGAAACGCAGCAGGCGACGCCGGACUAGGGCGGUGACCGGCGGCAAGUGCGGCGUCCAGCAGCGCGGGGCGGUGGAGGAAGGAGUUCCAGGCAAGGGAGUGGCAGUCGGCGUCCGGGAUGACAUCCAGGCAACAUGGGGGCGGUGCCCGCCCAGCGCACGAAGAGGACGAAUGAGAUGGGAAAGUCAACAGCCAGAUCGGAUGGUUGAAGCGCAGUGGAUCGGGCGGCUAGGGCUAGACUGGCUCAACAGUUGGACCGGCGCACCGGCGCAGAUCACUGCCCUAAAGUUUACUUUUGAGUCUCUAAUAAUAAAGUUUACUUUUGAGUCUCUAAUAAUUGCUCUACUAAACCUGUAUAUAAAUCAUGGUCAAAAAGGCAUCAACGUUAAGUUUAACAAAAUCCAUCGGUGGCUCAUACCAAUCCCCAUUUUUCUUAGAACCUUUUGGGAAAGAGGCAACAAUAAAAUUGACCAUCAAAGCCCGGAUAGCCAUAAUUAUGUUGGAUGCAUCCUGGACAAUCUCCCCAUUCAUAAGCUUUCUCGUUCCCACCACAAAUACCAAGAAUUAAUGGCAAUCAAUUCACAAAUAUUGUGAAUACCCAGGAUAGUAGUUUUUUAAGCCGACAACUCUUAUUAUUAUUUUUUCAAGAGUGUGUAAACCACGUAAUAUAUUUUUAUAGAAGAGAGCAAUAAUUUACAAGAAUCCUUGCAAAGAUGCGAACAUCAUUGUAAGUACACCAGUAUCAAACCAAAAGAAAUCUAGUCUACUCUCUCACAAAACGAUGAAGGCCGCCAACUCUUCCACACGCUAAGUGCCAAUCCUUCAAGUUCAUCUAGAAUUUUUGUUGACUACAUCAAGGACUCUUAGUUGCUGCUCCCUCCCGUUGAAGACUCUAGUAUUCCUCUGCUUCCAGAAGGACUAAGCUACGCAUGCCACCAAGGAGUCGAACCCUCUUUCGUCAUCUUUUCGAAACAAACGAAGCCUUAUCCAUCACUCCGCCGACGUGUCAUUCUCGGACGGCCUAGCGAUGGGAAGGUUCAACACAUCAAGGUAGACAUGCCACACACACCUUACCAAAAUAUGGUCGACAUUGUCUUCUUCUUGCAAACAGGUGAAACAAGGGGAAGGCUAAUCUUGUAGUCCAAACCUUGCGCAUCGAUCGGAUGUCCACAAACGGUAUUGGGACGACAACCAGAUGAAAAUCUUCACCUUGAGGGGGGGAAAAUUCAUUCAUAUGUAGAUUGUAGUUGGCGAGCGAUGAAGGCCAACACACAAUCUACUAUACCUAGACUUGGUGGAGUAUAAAUUGAACUCCCCACACGACCAGGUGAAGACAUCCGGCGAGUCCAAAUCGCCGAUUGCAUGUCGAAGAUGCAUGAGUUGCACCUGGGCCUGGAAGGAGAUCAUGCCAUCCUGAACCCAUUGCUCAUUGAUAGUGGCAGUUGAACCGUUUUAAGAUUUAUAAUUCUUUUGUCAACCAAGGCAUGCACCAGUUGAAAGGAUCGAUAUAGUUGACUAGAGGGGGGUGAAUAGGCAACUAACAAUUUUUAGAUUUUCUUUACCAAAUUAAACUUUGCAUCAAAGUAGGUUGUCUAGAUAUGCAACUAGGUGAGCAACCUAUAUGAUGCAACACCAACAAGCACACAAGCAAGCAAUGGAUACAACACAAUAUAAGCUUGCAUAAGUAAAGGUGAGAGAUAACCAAGAGCGAAGUCGGUGGAGACGAGGAUGUGCUAUCGAAGUUCCUUCCCUUUGAGGGGAAGUGCGUCUCCGUUGGAGCGGUGUGGAGGCACAAUGCUCCCUAAGAAGCCACUAUGGCCACUGUAUUCUCCUCAUGCCUCACACAAUGCGAGAUGUCGUGAUUCCACUAUUGGUGCCCUUGGAGGCGGCGAUCGAACCUUUACAAACAAGGUUGGGGCAAUCUCCACAACUUAAUUGGAGGCUUCCAACGACACCACGAAGCUUCACCACAAUGGACUAUGCCUCCGCGGUGACCUCAACCGUCUAGGGUGCUCAAACACCCAAGAGUAACAAGAUCCGCAAGGGAUUAGUGGGGGAAUCAAAUUUAUCUUGGUGGAUGUGUAGAUCGAGGCCUUCUCAACCAAUCCCUAGAGAAUCAACAAGUUUGAUUGGCUAGGGAGAGAGAUCGUGUGAAAAUGCAGCUUGGAGCAACAAUGGAGCUUGGGGAUGGAAGAGGUGGUCAACUCGGAGAAGAAGACCCCCAUUAUAUAGUGAGAGGACAAAUCCAAUAGUUACCCACUUAUUCAGCCUCGACAUGCGGUACUACCACACCAAACUUGUGGUACUACCACUAGGCGGUGCGGUACUACCGCACCCACGACAGAGACCAGAUGAUGCCCUGUUGCAUUGACACAGCGAGCAGUAGAACCGCCGGAGCGGUACUACCGCGCGCCCUUGCGGUACUACCGCAAGGCAGGGUUCGACGAGGCUAGGAAGGCAUGGACGAAUAAAAUUACAUCCGUGGCUACUUUCGCUGAGUUUCAAUCUAUGCAAAAAUUCGACACGGUACUACCGCAUCCAGGGAGCGGUACUACCGCAUAGGGCGCGGAUGUAAAAAAUUACAUCCUCCCCUACUUCCGCGCGAGUAGCUGUGCUGGGCUAGAAGCCACGGUACUACCGUGCCCGAGGAGCGGUACUACCGAUCACGGACGCGGUUGGCUAGAAGCCACGGUACUACCAUGCCCGAGGAGCGUUACUACCGCGUCCGUGACCGGUACUACCGUGGGCCUCUGCGAUACUACUGCUCCCUUGAGCAGUACUACCGCAUGCCACAGCACACUACCACUUGGAGUCCUUCAUUUUGCAAAGACACGGAUAAAUGGUCGGUGCUCCAAAGAAGCAAAGGAAAGGUGGUGCAAAGGGACAGACGUGUACGUGUUGAUUCCACCCUAACCUUUCUGAAGCGGACCCCCUCUUAAUAGUACGGCUUUCCUAUGACUCAAGUACACCGAAAAGAAACGUAGAGAAACGCCGUCUUCACUAGGCUCCGAGGGGCAUCAAAUCGUAUUGUGCCUAAACAUGAGACAUCUGAAAUGCUCAGUGCACAUGAUUAGUCCGCAAACGCAUUGUCAUCAAUCACCAAAACCACAUAGGGUGAAAUAUGCCCUUACAAUCUCCCCCUUGAUGGUGGAUUGAUGACAAUACAGGAUUUGCACAUAACAGUACACAAAUGAAUAUAAGCAAACCCAACAUCUACAAAAUAUAGACAGGCUCCCCCUAGAUGUGUGCACUCUAUAUAAAUGCUUUGGACUGCAUGACACACAUACUAGGAUCAACACUCUCCUAUAUUUUAUAGACGAGGCAUUCCUUGCAACAAUAUAAAUAACACUAAGCAUGGAGGCAAGGCAAUGAAUAUGAGCAUAAAGUAAAGGGCACAAGAUAGCAUAGGCUCACGAACUACUAAGCAUAAUAGGUAAUAAGAUAAGCUUGAGUGCAUAUGUCUUACACCAUAUGAUAGUCUUCAGGACUCACAAACACAAGCACAAGCAAACAAACCAAAACAACACAAACGAGGGUCCAACAAAACGAAAACAAAGAGACACGAAAGCAAAACUUACACUCUCUCCCCUUUUGGCAUCGAGACACCAAAAAGGCAGAGAGGACUCCUACGACAUAGGUGGUAGCAUCCUUUGUAGAGAUCACUCAACACACUCCUCAUCGGACUUGGCAGAUGGGAUGGUCUCCUCCUCUAACUCGGUCCACUGAUAGCCCUGCUUGGUCAUCCAUUCAGCCUCCGGAGUGAUGUUCACCUCCGACCCGCUGUCACGCCCAAUAUGCGAUACUAUCCUAAAGAGACUCGAAGGUCCCAUCAAGGAUAGAACCGCAUAUUGAAACGCUUUUGCAAGGUGGAUAUCAUUACAUCAACAUUACAUAAUAGAUGGGGAUACAUACAAGAGGCAUACAAUGCCACACGAAUACAACAUCACAAUACAUAAGAGCAUCAUCCGACUACAGAUGAAACAAAAACAGAAACUCAAACGACAUCCACCCUGCUAGCCCAGGCUGCCGACCUGGAACCUAUCCCCUGAUCGAAGAAGAAGCAGAAGCAGAACUCCAAAACAAGCAAACAUCGCUCUCGCGUCAUGACCAUCGCGUAACCUGUACCUACAACUGUUGUUGUAGUAAUCUGUGAGCCACGAGGACUCAACAAUCCCAUUACCAUGGGUAUCAAGACUAGCAAAGCUUAAAGGGAAAGGAAGGGGUAAAGUGGUGAGGUUGCAGCAGCGACUAAGCAAAUAUGGUGGCUAACAUACGCAAAUAAGAGCGAGAAGAGAGCAAAUGGAACAGUCGUGAAGCUAGCAAUGAUCAAGAAGUGAUCCUGAACUCCUACUUACGUCAAACAUAACCCAAAACCGUGUUCACUUCCCGGACUCCGCCGAGAAGAGACCAUCACGGCUACACACGCGGUUGAUGCGUUUUAAAUCGGAUCUGGUAUCAAGUUAUCUACAACCGGACAUUAACAAAUUCCCAUCUGCCCAUAACCGCGGGCACGGCUUUCGAAAGUUUAAACCCUGCAGGGGCGUCCCAACUUAGCCCAUGAUAAGCUCUCGCAAUCAACGAAGGAUAUACCUUCUCCCAGGAAGACCCGAUCAGACUCAGAGUCCCGGUUUACAAGACAUUUCGACAAUGGUAAAACAAGACCAGCAAGACCUCCCGUUGUGCCGACAAAUCCCGAUAGGAGCUGCACAUAUCUCGUUCUCAGGGCACACCGGAUGAGCCAGACGUCGGAUUGGCAUAGACCCUGAUUGCCCAGGGGGCGCUGGACAUCGCUCGGUUUGGACCAACACUUAGACAAGCAUUGGCCCGGGGGGGCUAAAAUAAAGAUGACCCUCGAGAGAGCGACUCCCAAGGGAAAAGUAGGUGGUGAUGAGGCAAAAGGUAAACCCAAGGUUGGGCCUUGCUGGAGGAGUUUUAUUCAAAGCGAACUGUCAAGGGGGUCCCAUAAAUCACCCAACCGCGUUAGGAACGCAAAAUCCGGAAACAUAACACCGGUAUGACGGAAACUAGGCGGCAAGAGUGAAACAAAACACCAGGCAUAAGGCCGAGUCUUCCACCCUUUACCAAGUAUAUAGAUGAUUAAUUAAAUAAGAGAUAUUGUGAUAUCCCAACAUAAUCCUGUCCACCAUGGGGCAAUCUUCAACUUCACCUGCAACUAAUAACGCUAUAAGAGGGGCUGAGAAAAAGCGUAACAUAGCCAAGCAAUGGUUUGCUAGGAAGGUUGAAAAGGUUAGAGGGUGACAUGGCAAUUUGGGAGGCUUGAAGAACAAGUGAUAGGAAGCGCAGCAUAGUGAUAGAACGAAGCAACUAGCAUGGCAAUGAUAGUAGUGAGAUCCAGGAUAGCGGUCAUCUUGCCUGAAAUUCCGCAAGGAAGAAGAACGAGUCCAUGAAGAAGAUGAAGCCACGAAGACGAACCAAGCGUAGACGAAUGAAUCCUCACGAUCGCAACGAAAUGGGAACUAUCGAGAAGAAGCACACAACAUGGUAAACACACCACACAUAGACAAGACAUGAUGCUCAACCAAGUAUGAUGCAUGGCAUGGCUACAUGAAGCUACUCGUGGCAAGAGAUGAUGCAAACAAGAGCAACACAUCAAAGCAAGUUUAAAUGAGGCCGGAAACAACAUAUAACAAUUCCGGUAAGUCCUCAUAUGCAAAUUUCGAAAUUAGUCCAGAUCUGAAUAAACUUUAUGUUCAAGUUGCUAAACAGAAAGUUAAAGAGCACCAAGAGGAUCUACACGAAAUUCUAGUCAAGUUACAUAUAAAGUUCAUUUAGUUCGGAGCUACGGCCUAGAAGAUAUGAGCAAAACAAGUUAAACAUGACAUUGAUGCAAAAUGCAAACAAACAUCAAGCAAACACCUCAAAACAAGGAUGCAACAUGAUAAUAUGAAACUACAUGGAAAAUCAAGCAAGUUUCAUAUAGAGCACACUCAAAACGGAGCAACGGUUCAACACACACACACUAUACAAGUCAUAACAACAAUCUGUCCAAAACAGCAACUAGGCAUCUUGCAAGCAUCAAAACAACAUGCUACAGUACCACAACAUGAUAACAAAAGGCAUGGGUAUGAUGUAUAGGUAAAUCAUAACAAAACAUGAACACUGAGCUAUCUCCAGAAAUCACUAGAACAUGCUCCAAAACACAUGGCAAGAUUGCAAGUAAUAACAGUUUCAGACUUGGUAGACAAUAACAUCAGGUUGCAAUAUUUAGAGCUAUCAAACAACAUGUUACAGGAAAUUAUCAUGGCAAACAAAGGCAUGGAAUGAAUCUACUAAACCCAUAGAACAGAAGUCCUUUACUGACCAUGAGCCAAAAAGGAUCAGAAGAUAUGAUGGCACCCAUGUAAACAUGACAAGUUAUAUGACAGAUUCAUACAUGGCAGGAACAACAAUAAGUAGGCAUGUUGGUGAGCUUGUACCACUCACCACAGAGCAAUAAAUGGCAUGACAAGGCAACCAAUAGUAAGAAGACAUGUUUAUGAAGCUAAGCAUGAAAAGAGCAAGUUCAUAGGGUGCAUGGAUCACUAGCAAAACACAUGACACAAACUGAACUUCAUGUUAACAGGCUGACAGCAACAUUAUUUAGCAAUUUGAGAGCAAGAUUACAACAAGCUACUGCAGGCUAUAAAUGCAACCAGGGGCAUGAAUGGAUAGAUCAUGACAUGUAUAACAAAACAUCCUUAGUGAACAUCUCCAUAUUAUUCAUAGAAUUUCUUGUAGAAGCAGGUUUACAUAGCAUCACGAAAUAACAGAUUCAGCCUAGCAAAACAGUAACAGCAAGUACACUACUUCACGAGCUCGAUUAACUCAUCACAAGUCAUUGCAUGACAAGAUAAGCAUAGCAUCAGCAAUAAGACAUGUUUAUGGAACUAACCAAGGCAAGAAAAAGUUCAUAGCAUGCAAGGAUCAACUACAACAACCUUGUCAAAAUUGAAUAACAUGUAAACAAUCUGACAGGAAACAUUUUAUAGCAAAAGUAGAGCAAGAAAAUGACAUGCUAGACUACUCCAUAAAUGCAAGCAGGAGCAUUAAUGGAUAUAUCAUAACCGUAUGUUCAAAAUAUCCUUACUGCAGUAUCUCAAAAUAUGCAUGGAUCUCUCUGUAGCAUCAAGUUUACAUGGCAUAAAAAUAACAGCAGAACAGGGACUAAAAUCAGCAAUAUCACGAAGCCUAGUUUGCAUGCUUGUGCUAGUCACCACAUUGAUCACAAAAAUACAUGGCAAGCACCUCUGUCAAGAUGGCAUGAUUUAGUUCAAAACACAUGUAGAUCUCAUGCUCAUAGGAUGCACACAUCAAAUGCAACAAAAAUAACAAAUCAUCAAGUUCUGUUAACAGACAUCAGUAAACAUCAUAUAGCACUCUUGCAACAAUGAUUCAGGCAUCAAGAUGAUCUCAAACAAGCAUGAUGCAAUGGAAUGAAAUGUAGAGAAUCUCACAAUGAACAUUUUGAUAUAUUACACGCACGAAAUGGAGCAGCACACAAGAAAUUACAGCAUGAUGAAUAGGGCAUAAAAAUGUCACAGAUUCGGAGACUUGGUGGAAUUUUACCCUCGCAGAAACUGGAUCUCGGGGUGCCGGGACGGAGAGAAGCGGGACGGGGGCCGCGUUUGGUUGGGAUCCCGGUGGAUCUGGUCCCGAUCCAGAUCCGCCGGAGUUCUCACCGGAGAUGGCGGGGACGAGGCGGCAGCGACCCGGCAGCGGCGCUCGCCGACGCGGCUCCCGGUGGGGGGACGACGGAGCAACGACGGCGCACCAUGGAGGCGGCGGGNNNNNNNNNNNNNNNNNNNNNNNNNNNNNNNNNNNNNNNNNNNNNNNNNNNNNNNNNNNNNNNNNNNNNNNNNNNNNNNNNNNNNNNNNNNNNNNNNNNNNNNNNNNNNNNNNNNNNNNNNNNNNNNNNNNNNNNNNNNNNNNNNNNNNNNNNNNNNNNNNNNNNNNNNNNNNNNNNNNNNNNNNNNNNNNNNNNNNNNNNNNNNNNNNNNNNNNNNNNNNNNNNNNNNNNNNNNNNNNNNNNNNNNNNNNNNNNNNNNNNNNNNNNNNNNNNNNNNNNNNNNNNNNNNNNAGUGCUCGGGCUGAGCGACGGCGACGCGCGGGCUCGCGCGGGCCCGCGAUGGGCCUGGCGGUGGGCGGCGUCGAAGUGCCACGUGGCGCGCCCCAAUUGGCGCGGGCGGCGGCGGCGGUUUUGUCCGGUGGCGGCGGGGAGGAUUUUAGGGUUUGGGGGAGAAUUCAUCCGCGAAUUUCGGGGGAAGGGGCAUAUUUAUAGAUUCUGGGAGCUAGGAGAGUCCAAAUGAGGAGCGGUUUUCGCCCACACAAUCGUGAUCGAACGGCCGAGAGCAUGGAGGGGGUUAGGAUGGGUUUUGGGCCAGUUUGUAGGGGCGUUGGGUUCAAGAUAAAAGGGGCUUUUAUGGUUACCCGGUUAACCGUUGGAGUAUCAAACGACCUCCGAAUGACACGAAACUUGACAGGCGGUCUACCGGUGCUAUACCAAGGUCACUUGGCAAACCUCGGGCCAUUCUGAGAAAAUUUAACACCCGCUCAUAACAAAAGACAAAAGGGGGACGUCGAAGGACAUAGGAGUGCCGGAUUGCAAAACGGACAACGGGGAAAAAGCUCGGAUGCAUGAGACGAACACGUAUGCAAAAUGAAAUGCACAUGAUGACAUGAUAAAAUGCAACACGCAAGCAAAUGACAUGGCAACAACGACGAAUAACUGGCAGACACCUGGCGCAUCGAAUCCGGGGCGUUACAACCGCUCUCCACAAUCUCGCCGAACAUCCUCAAGAUCCUCUUGUUGCGUUGGCGACUCUCCUUGGAAGCAACAUGGGUCCUGUCGGGGGUAUACCCCGCGGAAUGACCCGGCCGGAAGUAUGACCCGGCCGGACUUGGCAUUUCAUUGGUAACCUGCCAGAGGAUUGGCGACUCACGAGUCUGGCGGCUCACUGGUCUGACGACUCAUAAGCCUACCGGCUCACGAUGGCCCCGACGGUGGGUCAGACGGAUGACAAGGCCCAAGGCCCAGAAGGCCGUCUCAUGCUAUGGUGGGCCGGUUUACGAGGAAAGACAUAAGGAGUUUUCCCUUAAAGGGGCAGACUAGGAUUCUACUUGUUAUAUAAUAGUCCUAGUCAUACUAGGACUCCACAUGUAACCCACCCCUCCAACUUAUAUAAGGAGGGGCAGGGCACCCCAAGAGGGACAAGCAAAAGAAAAUCUCUAAGGCUAGACACAACUAGUGGAGAUUCGGUUAUGCGGCGUCUCCCUCAUGAGCAUAAUGAGACCUAGCCACAAACAGCAUGUAGGGCUAUUACCGGAUGAUGUUUCCCGGGGCCCGAAGCUAUCUAAAUCCUUGUCUUGAGUGUUGAUCCGCCUCGCGUCUCUCGUCCCGAUCAACCUCUCCCAAGCUACCACAUAGAUGCAUUGGCCUCAUGACUAAGUCCUCACAAUAGAACAUCAGCCGUGACAAAAUCCACGAUAGUUGGCGCCCACCAUGGGGCCUGCGCACGGUGGUGUUGAGUUCUUGGAGGAAUCUUUUUCUAGGGUGUCGAGAAGCUCGUGAUUUGUAGAUGUGGAAGAGCCGGCAAAUCCUUUGUUUAUGAUUGAAAUUGUGAUUAGCUUUGGAGCUGGUAAUACAAGGAUCAAGAGAAAUUAGGGUGGCAUUGAGUACAGCAUCGCCGCUGCUGCAGCAAGUCGAAGACGUGCACAAGAUAAAAUCGGCACAAUGUUCUUUUAUCCUAUCGAGACCGACAGGAUUGGACGAUUCCGUCGUUCGUCUGUGUUUAGAUCAAGUUCGGAGUGCUACCUGUAUACGUGAAGGAUUAGAGCUACAAGUCGAAUCAGUACACCGCUCAUCGCAGCUCAAAGGACGCGCACGACGCGGGCAGAUAUAUCCAAGUUCAGGAUCAGUCAACCCAUAUGGUCUCCUCACCGGGAUCAAAUUAGUAAAAUACUACUAGUAUUAGUAGUGGGCACAUGGACCAAUGUCUAAUGGAUCUUUACCUCAUCACGUGAGAGCUACUAUCAGGAUCAAAUAGAAGAAGGGCCUUGGAGUCAUUCAAAGAUUAAAAAUCCGGCUGCUACUAGUCUUACAUGGAUUCAGACGUAUACAGGAAAAGGAGAGACAGCUACCUUGUUACAGUCAAAAAAAUCAAAGCAACCAUGACCCGGAUUGGAUGGGGUCAUGGGCGUGGACUCGUUCGACCGCCUCUACGGCCAUCGCUGCACCUCGAGCGCUUCCGAGCCGCCCUCUGCCGGUGCUGCGGCCAUGACUGCACCCCGGACCAGAGGCGCCUGGCUGACCUGCUUCUACCACAAACCGCCUCCGCUGGCCUCACUCCACGACCACGGGCCUGCAGCUGCUGCCGCUUUGCUCCGCCUCUGCUGCCUCUUCCGCCGGUAGCGCCUCGCCUUUUCUGCUGCUAUGGCCAAGCCGCCAACGGCCGAGUCACCGAUCUGCUAGCGCCUCGACCUGCCGUACUGACCUCCUGCGCCACCCCAUGCCGGCUUUACCUCAGAUUCUCCAGGCUGUACGCGCUCCGCCUCAGACCCGCCAGGUCGCUGCAACCGCGGUCCAUGUGGACUGUGGCCACCCACACCGUGUUGAGCCGCCAUGGCCGGUGUUGAGCCACCACGACUCCCCUGGCCGUAGCUUCUGCCUGAGCCACCGCCAUUUGCGAUCAUUGCCUCUACGGCCGCCGCUGUUGCGUCGUGUCACGCUAAACCACCGCGACCUCGUUUCCGCUGCCGUGUCUCAAGCCGUCCGAGCCACAGUCAAGCCGCCGUUGGGCGCCUCCGCGAGCUGCAGCAAUUUCAAUGCCGCACCAAGCCGGCCGGCCAGCGCGCUCAGUCGCCCUCGCCGCUGUGGGCCUGCCCUUGCUGUCGCUGUAACCGCCUUUGCUGGAGCGGCCCUGAGCCAUUGCCGGCUUCACCCCACCCGUGUUGGCUUCGUCGCGCCUUCAUCGCCAAGUUGCCAAGCCACCGCUGCUCCUGCUACCGCCCGUGCCGCGCCCGCUCCCAAAUGGCCGAGCGCUCCUUAAGCUGGUUGCAGCUGUGGCCUUACCCCUGCUUCGGGCUACCUGCACUUCGCCGACCUUGUUUUCGUGCUAAACCGCCGUCCACUGUCGUCGCCGCUGCACUUUCUGCCUAGGUCCGCCUUGAGCCGCCUGAUGCCAUUGAGCCGUCGCAGCUGUCGCGACCUCCGAGCCGCCACGACCUUGCUCCUUUGCUGGGCCCGGCCUUGAGCUGUCGCAGCAGAAACUGCAGGUUCAAAUGCUGUUGUGGCGACUGAUGUUACAGGGCGUGGUAUUAGUAGCCCUGGUGACGCUCAUAUCAUUAACUAUGAGAUGUUAGUCCAGUUGAUACAUACACACAUGCACACAACUCAAAUGGCUCAUACAAUGCACAUUCAAGGAUGGCUCUCGAGUUCGACCCCCUCGCUGACGCAGCAACUCUGCCACUGUGGUCGCAUGCGCGGCCUCAAUCCGCAGAUCGUCUCCAAGUCGACCCGCCACCGCUGCAAUAUGCCUUCGCAAGCCACCGCGACCUCUACUGAGUCGCCGGGCAGGCCUCCUCUCCUCUGCUGCCGUCCCGCACAAAUCAUCUUUCGGUCACAAACAUCAAGUGAUACUCAUCUAGAUUGAUUUUAUUAGCGCAUAUUGUUUUUUGUCAAAAAUAAUCACUUUGAUAUGUACACUUUUAUGUGCAGGGCAAUGAUUCAUCAUAAAGAUGGUGUCAUGUCGUAUCCAUGGAGUGUGUGUUAGCAUCAUCAUGCAACGGCAUCUGCGAGCGCUUAUUGUUCAACAGGUGGGCGCAAGCAGCUGCCCCAGUAGUCCGGUCCACACCGACUCACCCGUCCGCGCGGGUUAGUGCACCUACGAUUGCUUCGCUCGUCUGUGCUGGCUCACAAUGCCGUGCUCGGCUCAUCUGUCUGCUCCCGCGGCCGGCUCAACCAUGAUUGAUUUCAGUUUUACCGCGGUGAUCAUCAACUCCGCGGGCAAGUUGUCUACUACAAAAGGGACUAUUAUAUCACUGAGCUGAUGAAUGACUCAUACCGGUUUAUAUCAUCCCCUUGUUAGAGUCCGAAGCAAAAUGGAGCUCUCCCGUGCGUUUGGAUUCUGGACCGUCGGAUCGAAAUCUCCUCGCGACACAGGCCGUCGAAUCUCAAUCCAAAUCGUUAUGGGUCGUUGGAUAUUUACCCGAUCUACCUCGGCAGUCGGAUAAAAUUCCAAUUACAAUAGAUUGUAAUAUCCAUGCCCCCACCAGGGCAUUUUUGUCAUUUCACCACAUAAGCAUAUAAAAGCAGCAGCUCCCGUGCUAGAACCCUAGCCGCCGCCUCCCUCCCGCACUCGCCCCUCCCCCGCGGCCAGCUCCUCCCGCCUCGCCUCUCUCCCUCUCCCUCCAAACCCUAGAACCUCACCCGCGCCUCCCAGCCCUGCCGCCGUCCAGGUCUAGCCCCAUGCCGCCGUCGUCUUCUCGCCCAGCCGGCCGCCACCGCACCGCACGCUCGUGCGCAGGGGUGAGAAGGGGAACUACUGCCCGCUCCUGGAGCGCGAGGAGGACGUGGUGAUGCGGCGCCCAGAUCCACGGUGACAUCGACGCGCCAUCAUCGACCUGAGCCGCCACCGUCCUCGAGGUCGGUCAUGGAGGGGGGUCCGACCCAGCUGCAGCCGUUGACGGAGACACCCCAAACCCUAGCACGGGGACCGAGCCGCCAUGGUGAGGCACUGCACCGGAUCCCUCUCCUCUUCCCCCUUCUUUCACGGGUUUCUCCUCUCUCUUUCUGUCCCUCUCUCACCAUGGUCUCGUCUCUGUAGGAAGGAGGCCAGCGGCGAGGACGACGCCAUGGUCCCUGCUGUGCUCCCGGAUCCGUCGCCCAUCUGCCCCGAUCUGGCCCUUCUCCUUCCCGCCGGCCAAGCGGAGCCGCUCGUGUCGCUGCUCUACCUGACGAGGGCAUCGUGCUGAGGUGAGCCUCCUUCUGCUAGUGCCAUAAGAUACUGCAAUGUUGGUAUGCAUGCUAACUUCUGUAUGUUUUGUAUCAGCCAUGUUGCAUUGUAUCAGCUAUAUAAACAGUUCAUGAGGAAUGCCAAUGGGGCUGUCAUAUGUAUUUUAUAUUGUUUUAAUCUUCACCAAUUUACUUCGUUAGUUGCAAAAGGUAUCAUGAGAUUUAAUUGAUGAUACUCAUCAUAAGACUAAAGAGUAGAUGUGAUACAUAGUUGUAGUACACGUGUAGUCAGACUGCAUAUUUACACAAGUUUUUUUUUGGUUACUUGCAAAAUACUCUCUAUAAGCAAUUUGUUUAAUGUGGCCCUGUUUGGCAAUUGUAGCAUGUUAUGUGUAGGCAUAUGGGUAAUACUGAUAAUAUUACAUAUAAAUUCAUUUACUAUAAACUAACCAUCAGGGGUGCUUUACAUGUCAUGACACAUUGACAUCUUACAAGCAUAAUUUGUCCAAACAAUUGUAGUAGCUCGGCAUUCGGGUUUUGCACAGUAGCUUUGCAAGCAUAUUACUACUCAUGAAAGAAUCUACGAAAGCCGCUGAAGUACGUACGAGUAGAUCGGUGCAACUUCGCCCACAUCCUUUUUUCUUGAUAAGGCAUGGUCGAGGUGGUGGUGAGAUCUGGAGCUCCUGCCACGUGCUCGCUUGCUUCAGAAUAAUCCUGCCAGGGGCACCAUUUUUCUUCCUCCCAAGAAACAUAUCUGAUCCUGGAGAAUUCUUCCAGAAGCAGCAAUGUUCCACAGGGAUAUGAUAUCUCUCUCCACCACCUGUGCUCUGCAGCAGCAGCUGCUAUGUUUAUCUUCAUUGUUUACUUCAAGUCUGCAAUGCCUGUUGUUAACUCUUAUAACUAGAUUCAUUUGCUGCUCUUGGAACGAAAGGAGAAGAGAAGGACAGCCUGAGAUUCCAAUCCGAAUUAAUUUGACUUUAGAAUGAGAGUAAGCACUAGAGGAUUGGAAAUGGGUGAUUGUUUAUAUGUGUUUGCUUUUUUGCUUUGAACUGUAUGCCUGACAGCUUAUUAGAUUGGCUUAUACUACAUGUUUGACUCUCUACUUUGAACUGUACAAAUGCUUGUUUAUUAGCCCUGGAAAAUGAAUGGCUUCAAUGGUGGGUGCAUGUAUGGUCAGGGGAUUGUUUGGUCCAUGCAUGGAAGUGGACUGAUUAGGUUUACUUUUUUUUACUUGAUUAUGUUUGCUAAUCUUGAGAAUCUUCUCAUAAUCUUGAAAAGCCACUCUUGCUAAUCUUGAUUUCUUCCUUGUGUGCAGCCCCAUUAUGAGAAGGCUGUGAGACUUUUCAAUGAUCCAGAUGUUGCACAUCCUGGGAGAAUAUUGAUGGCUAGGGUUGAUUGUGCAUCAGAGGUAUUGUACUUCUCAUGAAGGGUCAUAAUCUUCAUCAGUUUGUUGAAGCUAAACAACUAAGCACUUUAAAAGGAGAUAUUCUUGCAAUUCUAUUGCUUUAUGGUGAGAUAACCUAGAGAAGUAUUGAUGUGUAUCUUCGGUUCAUAGUUGUCCUAUUUGUUACUUCAUACCUGAAAGCUAUAAAUACAGGGGGGGUUUCUCACGUGAAAGAUUAGUCUCUCUUUUGAUUUAUUUUAAUUCCCAUUUCUGUCAGAAACCACAAAAUGUAGUGAAUUGUAGUAUUGUACUGCUAAUAUGUUAGUUUAUCAAGCAAUGGUGUUCAUUGGCAUGCAGUGAUGUUUUAUUUCUUUUAAAUGUUUGACACAGGUGAACAUAAGUCCACUCCAGUUUUAUGAUGCCACAAAUAUUGUUUUUAUUUUCCAUAAUUGCAACACUAGCUUUUCCAGGCAUGAGUUUACAUCUUGAAUAAUGUCUUUGCUUACUUGUGUCUUUCUAUUGUUUUAUGUUGGUCAAAUACCAAGUAUAUGAUUAGCCACAUAUGUCACUUUUUUUCUUAACCAUGUAUGAACGGAAAAAAACUGUAUGAACAAAACCAUUCAGUAUUUUUAGCCGAACAGUAUAUAGCAAAACCUUUGUAUGAAUACAUAUGGAUUAUUCAAGCCGAGCAAGCCAAUUGGAUGGUACGAAAGUACUGCCUAACCUAAGAUCCCGGCUGCAACAAAUAAAAAAACUUGAGAUCCUGACUGCUGGAGAAAUGACUUCUCCAGUUUUCCUCUUUUUAGUAUAUAUAACGGAUAAAGCACGAAAAAUAAUUAAAAUGANNNNNNNNNNNNNNNNNNNNNNNNNNNNNNNNNNNNNNNNNNNNNNNNNNNNNNNNNNNNNNNNNNNNNNNNNNNNNNNNNNNNNNNNNNNNNNNNNNNNNNNNNNNNNNNNNNNNNNNNNNNNNNNNNNNNNNNNNNNNNNNNNNNNNNNNNNNNNNNNNNNNNNNNNNNNNNNNNNNNNNNNNNNNNNNNNNNNNNNNNNNNNNNNNNNNNNNNNNNNNNNNNNNNNNNNNNNNNNNNNNNNNNNNNNNNNNNNNNNNNNNNNNNNNNNNNNNNNNNNNNNNNNNNNNNNNNNNNNNNNNNNNNNNNNNNNNNNNNNNNNNNNNNNNNNNNNNNNNNNNNNNNNNNNNNNNNNNNNNNNNNNNNNNNNNNNNNNNNNNNNNNNNNNNUUAUUUUCAGGUUAACUAUCUGAUAGAGUCUUGACUAAACUCUAGCGGCAAUACCGAUGGUAGUCAGUGUUAUUCACUAUGCAUCAUAUAUGAAUCUAAUUAUAUCGAUAUACAGUAUGCACAUGAAUUAACUGGAUUCCUGAAUCUAAUAUUUAAUGGUGACUAAGCCUAAGAGUUUUUAUUUCAACUGCUUAUGCAGGACAGGUUGUGUGCUUAGGGAGGCGGCAAGGUUAGACACCAUACUUUGGUCCUUAUGUAUACCUGUAAUGCCUGAAUUAAUUUUCUGAUUUAAGUUUUGCAUUUUUAGGCCCAAGGAAUCUUGCGCAUAAAACAAUAUAAUGACCAAGAAGAGCAUGUGAGGGACCAGUAGGUGUUUAUCCCGAGUGAUUUCAGUGUUUGUCAAGUCUCAUUAAGGUACUAAAUUAUUCUCUUGCACAUAAAUCCUAAGGCACGUGAAUCUGCCAUUUAUUCUUUCAAUAUUACACGAUGACCGGGUUUAUUGUUAACCUGAAUGCUUCAAUGAAGCUUGCCACCUUGCUUUUUCUUGAGCACAUAGCAACUGAAGAAGAGAUGAAGGCAACUGAACAACGUGCUCGCAAAGUGAAGGGUUCUUGCAAGAAGAAAGAAUGUAUGUUAUCCUACAUUCUUUGUAUUCUACUGACUCAUUUAUAGCUUUCGUGUAUUCUUGCUGGUGUACUGUGUUGGUAGUUGGCUCCUUUCUUUUCUCUUCUUUCACCAUCGUACCCAUCUUGCUGAUCUGAUGUGUAUCUAUCAAUUUGAUGCAGCGUUGUCAUCUUAUUUUCAUGAUGGCAUGGUGUCUCGACAUGUGAUGGAUUCACUCACACGGAGGAAGCUUUUCUCCGCUACUCCGGCGACAAGCGCACAAGCUUUUGGGUCCAUGGCGCCACCGGUAAACAAGGUAUGUCCUGUUCCGUUGAUUGAUCAGUUCAUCUUGCUUUUAUAAUUCUUACUCUAUGAUUUGCUCAAAUUCUAUCAAGACAACGGUGGAAAUUAAAUUUAUUUAUUCUAAAUGCAUGACAUUUCCCCCUGAUCAUUAGUUCAUGUAACUUGAUGAUGUAAACCUGGUGUCGUUUAAUCUUUUUCCAUAAACCAGUUAUUUGGGAGUUUAUUGCAAGCUAUACCAUCUUGAUGCGUAACUACAGAUUGUGUUCUUGCUAUAAUUUGUUACGACUUAUAUGUUUUAUAAUAUUCCAUGUAAAUCAGAAUAUCCUUGAUGUGCAUUCCUUGAUUUUUUAAUGUCAGGGGCCAAAAUAUUUGUCCUUAAUUAGUUCUUCCUCUGUACAGUGUAGGUGAUAGUAACCCUUUUAUGAAAAUAUAUUCAUUUUAGUCCCUAGCUCAGGUCUGCGCAUUAUAUAAUGAGUUAAAUUUGCCGGUUUAAAAUAUUUGUGCUAUCAAUCCUUUCUGUCCUAGACAAAACUUAUUAGUUUUAAUUUUUUUGCUAAUUUUAAAUAUUUCUGCUAUCAUCAGUGUAGAUGGGAAGGGAUAGGAGCUCAACAUGAAAUGGACUAUAUUGUGAAGGCCUUUAACUAAUAAGUACAUAUUGUUUUUUAUAGAAACACACAAGUAAAUAUUAUGUGCGGUGAUUUAUUCAUUUUAAGAGUUCCCUCAUUAGUGUAUCCCUCACUGUUAAUUGCUAUGAAUUUUUAGCCAUUUUUAUAGAAAUCACAAGUAAAGAUUAUGUUUGGUUUCCCAUAUUAUUCUUUACCUGCUUAAUUUCUAUGAAUUUUUUCAAUGUCAGAUUACUAUCCACAUUUGUAUGCUUUUCGUUGAAGUACUGGGUCAAGGGGAUACCUGUAUCACUAUGUCAUUUAUUUCCUUUGAUGCAGAACAACUCUGGGUGCUUGAUUGUGUCUCUGGAGUCUGGAUAAGUGAAAAUAGAUGGCAGCGAAGUUGAACUGGUUUUGCAAACACUAGCAAGUAUUUCUUCAUCGCUUCCAUCGUGCAAGUAAUUCUUUUACAUCCCCUCAAUAUGAUAUAUUCCUCUGCUUCCUAAUCCAGUCGAAACAUAAUUUGAACUAUAUGAUUCUUUCUAUUCAUAUUAUCGAAUAGUGAGCUUCGGUCGUGGCUUCAGCAAACAAAUUUAGUGUGUACAUCACUUGACCAAACAUUAAGGCAGCGGCCCAUAUGUAGGUGCAGUCUCAAACAAAGAAAGAGAAAAGAUAGUCUUGGUGUUAGUUACCUACAUACUCAGAUUCCUACAUGAGCUCGACAAAAAAUUGAAUAUGUAGGUGCAGUCUCACAACAAGAAAGAGAAAAGAUAACUUGGUGUCAACUACUCAUGAAUGGAAAUAAAAACACGAGCUGGAAUGAUUUACUAUUUUUGCUAGCUUGACAAAACAUACAUUAUUUCAUUCUUAGCUUACUAAAACUUGGGUGUGUUGUAUCUUGAUCAUACAUUUCAGUUGAUUCUGCGCAGGUUGCGCUAGCAUUGCGGGCAUUUUUCUUCAUAUUUGUGAAGAGGGGAUGAGGUUGAAAAAUGAAGCUGGUGAUGAAAAGAAUGGAGGGCACCCGCAAAGUGAUGACGAGGAAGGAGCCCUGCAGGAGACAGCUUUCAGAGCUUGAAGAAGAUGGUCUCACAUCCACGUUGAUCUAUGAAAAUAGUAAGUAUAAAUCAAAUUUGAUAUACGUCUCCCAGGUGAUUUAAAAAAAAUACCAAGGAUAUGAUUAGCCACAUAUGUCACUUUCUUUCUUAACCAUUUAUGAACGAAAAACAAUACCUGUAUGAACACCACCGAUCGAUAUUUUAGUCGAGCAGUAUAUAACAAAAUCUUUAUACAAAUAUUGAUUAUUCAAGCUGAGCGAGCCAAUUGGAUGGUACAGAAGUACUACUACCUAACGUAGGAUCCCGACAGCAACAAAAAGAACUUGAGAUCCUGACUGAUGGAGCAGGGACUUCUCCAGUUCUCAUCUUUUUAGUAUAUUUAAGGGAUAAAGCAUGAAAAAUAAUUAAAAUGAAUCUUCCAGAAUUGUAUGUGGGUGUUGUGUUUGCUGUGGGGACUAGGGAAAUAGUGUCAGUUCCUCAAUUGGAUAGUAGUAGGAUCAUACAUGCCUUUACAUUUUUUUAGUUAAUUAAAUAUGUUCAGUUCAAGCAGUUUUGGCUUACUGUGAUGUUAGAGUUCUCUCUCAGUACCUUCACUUUGGUUUUUCAAGAAAUUUAUUGCUCAGUAAUACUGCUCCACUUUGUUCAUAAAUUCAUUGUUCAUUGUUGUUUUUUAAAUUAUCCAUGUCCAUCUGUUAUUCCUAGGAUUUCCUUGGAUAACUAUACUAAUAGAUAGAACAUGAGAACAUGUCCAUCUCAGAGAGAAUUAAUAUUGCUUUGCUUGCUGCCCCUGAAUUUGAAAACAAAACAGUGAUGUUGAUUGUGGCUUAAUUCAUGUAUCCUAUCUCAUGAGUCAUACCAGGCAAGCGACGGCGGCGAUGGACUGGUCACCCCGCAACACCAUUCUUCCUUCACGGUAACUAGCCACGGCAAGUGCUUCUGUCAUUUCUUUCGUGUUGAGAAGGCAGAGUCAAGGGCGCGAACAUGAGGUAUUCUGUGACUUUCUUCGGAGAGGCACGAAAGUGCAAAGGUCGUGAUGUGUAACGAUUUAAUCAAGGAGACAACCCAGUCGAGCUAUCAAGUAUUAGGCUACCUAACUAAGAAGUUUUAUUAUCUCGCAUUGCAUCUUGCUUGAUCAACACAUGCCAUGACCUGGUUAUUGUAUUUGUUAUAUUACAAUGGAUAGUCUUGGCUUGCUUUUGGACUAAAGCCUUUUGGUCUAUGUAUAGCUUGAUUUUGGACUUUAGCCUUUUGUUGUUUCGUGAACCCAUUGCUAUGUGCUGAAUGUGUAUGUAUCGAUGCAAUGAUUCUGAUAUAAAAUUAAUAUACUCCCUCUGUUUCUUUUUAGUCUGUAUAUAAGGUUUGGUCAAAGUCAAGCUUUGUAAGGUUUGACUAACUUUAUAUCAAAAAAUAUAAACAUUGACAAUAUGAAAUCAAUAUUAUCAGAUGCAUCAUAAAAUGUAUUUUCAUACUAUAUAGUUUUAAUAUUGUAGAUGUUCAUAUUUUUUUAUAUAAAUUUGGUCAAACUUUAUGUAGUUUGACUUUGACCAAAUCUUAUAUGCGGGGUAAAAAGAAACGGAGGGAGUAUUAGAUUGAUAAACACAACUAUAUUAUGCUAUUUUUUAUAUUUGUUAUGCUUCAAUGACUGUAUUAUUGGGUUGGAUAUGACUAUACCCGACAGCAGUGCUGUCGGGUGCGGUAAGCCGCACUUCCUACCUAGUAGUCAAGCAUGAAGAGUCUCAAGCCAACUCUUCGAGUAGUCUUAAAAACUCGGGGGCUACAUGGACAUGGCUCAGCAAAUGUUUCCAGUUUGAAGGCCGUCAGAAAAUUUCCGACUCAAAAUGAACAAAUCCGGUUUAAAAUUCGGCUUAAGGAAAAUUUGUCUCUCUCAAAGCAUUGAAUCUCAAUAUCCGGUUUAAAAUUAGGCUCAAGGUAAAUCUGACUCCCACAAAGCUCCGAAGCUUUUAAUAUCCGGCUCAACGCCCGGUUCAAGAAUUCAUUAUUCACAAGUUUGAGUUCUUAGAAAAAUUAAAUGGACCAAAUAGAGUCUGUUGCAAAGCACAACUCAAACAUAGGUACCCUGCUUCAAUGACCAUUGGGGGCUAAUCAUAUUCGAAUCUAGCUUAACCCCUGUGGCACAGGUUCCUGAUCAUAUUCGAAUCAUAGUUUUUCAAACCUUUUGAUCACUAGGGGGCUUCCUAUUCAAGCAUAGGUCGUAUUCGAACCAAAGAGAACAUAGCUGUCUGUACCCUCUUGAUCGGCACAAUGCCAAACUCACUAGGGGGCUUCUUGAUCGUAUUUGAAUCAUAGCUUAACCCCUUUUGGGUCCGAAUUUGAUCGUAUUCGAAUCAGAAUCGUUUAAAAACUCCCAAGGUCAUUUGGGGGCUUCCUGUUCAAACAUAGGUCAUAUUCGAACCAAAGAGAACAUAGCUGUCGGUACCCUCUUGAUCGGCGCAACGCCAAAGCCAUUGGGGGCUACAUGAUCGUAUUCGAAUCCUAGCUUAACCCCUUUGGUCCAGUUUACUGAUCGUAUUUGAAUCAGAAGCCUCAAUUUUUCUUUCUAUUUGGCUUAAUUUUUUUGAAAACAAUCUUUUGGGUUUGUCUUGAGACUUUUUGUUCAUAUCUGAAGCAUAUAUGUGGUUUCGAUUAACCCGUCUUGACUUUGGAUGAUAAAUCGCUAGCAUAUGACAAUCAUAAACAUUUGGAAGUUUUGGCUUCUAAAGAUUGGGUUAUCACCCUUACUCACAGGUACCAUAAGCCGGCGGUACGAUUCAAUAUCAUAGGUAUGAUAUUGUUUAUACAUGAUUAUGUUUAAACCGGCCCUGGCUAUGGACUUUAAGUCGCUGGUAUAUUUUGGGUUGCGCCAUUGGAAUCAUGCGCUUAUCAAUCAUUGGAUUAUUGCCCUUAUUGGAUACGGUGAUGUAAGCCGGCAGUAUGAGCCAAUUCCACAGGAUUUGCAGAACUAUGACUUAUAUAAAUGAUUAAAUUCAAGCUCAUCAUCAAAAUCGAUGCUUCAACAUGGUUAUCCGUUCUGGAUUUUCUCAAAGGCUAUAAGCCACCGGGUAAAAAUUCCGGUUUCCAAUGAAUGUGCAUUAAGUCGCCAUCGGCCAAGAGCCGCCGAGUAUUUAAACUCCGGAUUUACUUGUCAACAGAUAAGGUAUUCAAAGUCACUUUGGCGUAAUGGCUAUUAUUUUAUCAAUGGAUAUGAUUUAUUCUACAAUGGAAGGAAUAGUCCCGAGUCCCUGCGGGCUUACCACCCGGCACUUGGGGGCUACAUUAUUCAGAUUGAGAUUAUAUCAAAUAAGCAAGUCCCAUGUCACUGCCAGCAUGCACCAUGUCCUGUACUGCCCCUUGGCUUGCAUGCAGAACAGGGUCUUCAUCUUUGCCUUCAGCUUCUUAGCCCAAGAGGGCUCAGUAGAUGGAGGAGCAUACCCAGCAGAACUGUCCUCAGCCUCCUCCUCCUCAAUCUCGUCCUCAUCCACAUUCAUCCUAGCAGCCUCAGCCUCAACCAUGGUAGUGGUAUUGGCCCACUUAUUCUUCUUAGCAGCUUGAUAGGCUCAUGGCGAAUCCAGUUUGGAGCAGAAAAGUCUUCAUCCGGAAACAUCUUGUCCCAAGUCUUUGAGAUCAGGAGGUGCAGGUAUGGACCAUAGAUGGGAACUUUGCGAUUGUAGACUGCAAAUCGGAGCUCAUUCCACAUGAUAUGAGAUAUGUCCAGAGGUUGGGCAGCAUGAUGACGCGCCUCCUCACACAGAAGCAUCAUAUCCACGAGAUAAGCAUGCACCUUAUCCUUAUCACUGAUGUGUGGAAAGAGAGUGUUGCGGAAGAUCCGGUGCAUGACAUCGAGGAAAGGGUUGAGCACCCAAGACUGAGUGCCAUAGGGUAGAUUCUUCUCCACAAGAAAUGGCAUAAGCUUGUCCUUGUUGGCGGACUCUGGGUUGCCGUGAGGGCGGGCACCAACGGGCACAUCGAGCCCCACAUCACGGACAUGCAACAACGUCAUGAAUUCCUUCCAAGUAGCAAACAGCUUCGUCCCAUUGGUCAUCCAAGUUAUAGUCCGCUCCCCAUCUAUGUGGAAGUGGACGGAGGCAAAGAACUGCGCCAUGAGCUCCGGGUCAAAGUCCAUAUGGAACGUGAUGAAGUCUUCAAUGCCAAACUGUUCCACCAAGUCCAAUGCCUCACCAAAGUAGUUUCGGUCCUUCCUCAGAUAAUUCAUAUCAAUCCACUGCAUUGGAACAUAGAGGUUGUGCUUGGACUUGAUCACAUCGAUGUAUAUGAGAUUUUGUUGCUUGGUCCAGAACAACUCAUUCCCUCUGACAUUCUCAUGAGGGUUCACAUAGGGAUUGAUCCUCCUUCGAAUGAUGAACUCAGAUAGAGGCAUCUAAUCCAUGCCAAGAACUGGCUCCUUGUACCUGUUGGUGGUCUUCUUGACAUUGCGUUGUUGGGCAUUGGAGCCCUCCGGUGCUUCUUGAUUGCGAAUCCGCUUAGAGCUCGAGUCGCGGCUUGGAUUCAAGUGACGGACAUUGGAGCCACCACCUAAGACACACAACACAAAAACACACAAGAGAAACAAGAAGGAUCAAUGCAAAGACCAAAGCCAAGACAAACAAAACAUGUAGAAAUAAGAUUGGGUAGUUGCAACAAGGUAGUUUAGAUGUCAAUGGUAGUACCUCACCACUAAGCGGACGUAAACCUUUACAUCUGCUCUAGCCGCGGUAGUACUACGCCGGGAUGGCAUGUUAGUACCGCGCCUAGAGCGAAAGUAAAAUUUUACUUCCGCGCCCCGAGCGGUAGUACCGUUCCAGAGGAGCGAUAGUACCGCACGAGGCGAAUGCAUCACUACUGCAAGAUGCUGCUAACACGACACUACGAUCAGAGACCCUUCGAGAAACUGUGUGUGAUGCAAUAAUCGCAAAUGAUGGUGUAAGAGAACCAUAAAAAAUGUCCAAAACGUUUGCGAUGACAGAUGCAUCAAACAUGGUUCAGAUUUUAGUUGCGUGUGCGAUGCAGGGCAUACGGUUCAGUUCAAUGAACUCAUUGUGAUGAGGAAGAAGAACGGAAACGGGCAGCCAGAUGAAGGCGUUUGCGAUACAUCAUACAGUUCAAUCGGAUUAACUGUUUAUGAUGAGGCGGAACAACAGAAACAGACAGCUAGAUAAAGGUGUGUGUGAUUGAGGGCAUAUGCUCCAGAAGGAUUAAUUGUUUGCGAUUAGGCAACAGAACAGAAACGGUCAGCCAGAUCAAAGCUGUGUGCAAUUGAUGGCAUACACUUCACACAGAUUAAGGCGGGAGAAGGCAGUGUACGUAUGUCGUUUCGCACACGGAGGUGACACGUUCCCUCUUGGAACCACGAUCCUUCUUGAGAGAAGCUCCGGUUUGCAAGAAGCUUAUACCAAAGCUUGUCCCAAUUCGGCCAAAAAAUUACCGCAACAUGUUGGUGCCAUGUCAUGACACCAUGCCAAGUUUCAUUAUUUUCAGGUGUGUUUUGGAUUUACAAGAAUUAAAAAACCAAGUUUCUCAAUCUUUCCGGCCGAGCCACGAUGCCAAAAUAUUUGAAUUUCAUUCCCAUUUCUUGCAUGGGACCUAGAAAUUCACCCAAGGACACACAUGUGAUUUUUCAACCAACUUUUGUGCACUGGAGCAUGUGCUUGUAGUUCAAAUUUGAAUUGUGCACAUUAAAUGGCCAGAAAUUCAAUUAUUGUAUAAAAAAGGCCAAACAAACCCGGAAUCAUUCAAAAAUUUAGCACGAUAGUUGGUCUAAUCUGCCAGUGUAAACAAAUUAAGGCAGGAGAAGGCAGUGUACGUAUGUCGUUUCCCACACGGAGGUGACACGUUCCCUCUCGAAACCACGAGCCUUCUUGAGAGAAGCUCCAGUUUGCAAGAAGCUUAUACCAAAUCUUGUCCCAAUUCGGCCCAAAAAUUUACCACGGCAUGUUGGUGCCAUGUUAUGACACCAUGCCAAGUUUCAUAACUUUCGGGCGUGUUUUGGAUUUACAUGAAUUAAAAAACCAAGUUUCUCAAUCUUUCCGGCCAAGCCACGACGCCCAGAUGUUUGAAUUUCAUUCCCAUUUCUUGCAUGGGACCUAGAAAUUCACCCAUGGACACACAUGUGAUUUUUUCAACCAACUUUGGUGCAUUGGAGCAUGUGCUUGUAGUUCAAAUUUGAAUUAUGCAUAUUAAAUGACCAGAAAUGCAAUUAAUGUAUAAGAAAGUCCAAACAAACCCGGAAUAAUUCCAAAUUUUAACACGUCACUCAUAUAGUUCUAUGUUGCCUCUGUAAAAAAAUAAGGGGGCGAGGCAGCGUAUAUCGUUUCGAACACAAAGGUGACACAUCCCCCCUCGUGAACCACGAGUCUUCUCGAGAGAAGCUCCGGUUUGCAAGAAGCUUAUACCAAAAACUUGUGCAAAUGCGGCCAACUUUUUUACCACAACAUGUUGGUGCCAUGACAUGACACCAUGCCAAGUUUCAUGAUUUUCAGGCGAGUUUUGAAUUUCCAGGAAUUUAAAAACCAAGUUUCUCAAUGUUCCCGACCAAGCCACGACGCCCAGAUGUUUGAAUUUCAUUCCCAUUUCUUGCAUGGGACCUAUAAAUUCACCCAAAGACACACAUGUGACUUUUCAACAAACUUUGGGGCACUAGAGCAUGUGCUUGUAGUUGAAAUUCGAAUUAUGCACAUUAAAUGUCGAGAAACUCAAUUAAUCCAUAAAAGUGCCAAACGAAGCCGGAAUAAUUCCAAAUUUAAACACGACACUCAUGUAGUUGCAUGUUCAUUGUACAUAGAUGUUCUAGCAAUUCAAACACCGUCCUUUCCCUCCGUAACACCAUUUUGUCUUUGAAAACAUAAUGAAAAAAAAUCAGGUAUACCACAAACAGUUUACUAGAAAGAAUCAUGUGGGAUGCGAUAUAAAAUAUCUUGGCGCACCGUCUUGUCUGGCUUACGCAGGAAGCUUCGUCGUCUACAGUCCACCGCCCCCGCUUGAACCACACUUGCGCUCUAGUUUCUCGUGGCACCGAGCGAAAUUUUCUUGCCACCGCGGAAAUAUCUAUCUCCUUGCCCCCUCUCUCCCAUGAAAAGCCACAUUUCCACUGUUCCUCCUUGCUUUCCAAGUUCAAACCUUCACUGCUGCUUACUGGCAACUCAGUCUCCUCACCGGCGACCCUUCUUCUUGCAGCGCUGCCUCCUCGUCGGCUACCCUUCUUCUUGCAGCGCCGCCUCCUCGCCGGCGACCCUUCUUCUUGCAGCGCCGCCUCCUCGCCAGCGACCCUUCUUUUUGCUGCGCGGCCUUCUCGUCGCCGACCCUUCUUCUUGCUGCGCGACUGAGGGAUUCCUAGAUUAGGGGGUAUCAGGACAGUCGAACUAUAUACUUUGGCCGGACUGUUGGGCCGUGAAGAUACAAGAAUCAAGACUUCAUCCUGUGUCCGGAUGGGACUCUCCUUUGCGUGGAAGACAAGCUUGGCGAUCCGGAUAUUAGAUUUCCUUCUUUGUAACCGACUCUGUGUAAACCCUAGCCCCCUCCGGUGUCUAUAUAAACCGGAGGGUUUAGUCCUUAGAGACACAAUCGUAAUCAUCAUAGGCUAGCUUCUACGGUUUAGCCUCUACGAUCUCAUGGUAGAUCAACUCUUGUAAUACUCAUAUCAUCAAGAUCAAUCAAGCAGGAAGUAGGGUUUUAACUCCAUCGAGAGGGCCCAAACCUGGGUAAAACAUCAUGUCCCUUGCCUCCUGUUACCAUUAGCCUUAGACGCACAAAUCAGGACCCCCUACCCGAGAUCCGCCGGUUUUGACACCGACAUUGGUGCUUUCAUUGAGAGUUCCUCUGUGUUGUCGCUGCAAGGCUCGAUGGCCCGUCUCGUUGUCAAGGACAACAUCACCUCUGGGGGAGCACUGGUGGUAGGCCAAACUCUCCGACUAGGCGGCUUCCUCAUGGCCGCCCGAUCGGCUUCAGCACCGACGAUGACCUCUCGGAUCAUCAAAAACGGCCUCCACGUCAACUCGGAACUCGCCGAACAGAUGGAUCCGAUGGAUCUCUCCUCCCUCAGUGAGCUCUUGGAUCGCAUCGCCGCUUUGGGAGUCGCUACAGACUAUGAUCGGAUUGGGCUUAAACCCGACCAAAGGGAUAUUAAAUCCCCACCGGUCACCCUCGAGAUAGCGGUAGUGGAAGAGCCGCACAUGGAUUAUCCCUCUAUUUUGAGGGCGGACUAUGUCUGGAUUGCCGAGCUCUCUGAGCCGGAUACCUGUUCGCGGGAGGACAUGACCCAGGCCCGAACUUAGGAUCGGGCAACGGGCUGGAAAAAUCGGGCAGCACUCCGGAGCCCGAGCUGUCAAGCCCGGAAGCUCCUCUGCCCCUGGGCGUUAGAUCGGAUCAGAAUCCAGAAUUAGCUACGCCCACCCACCCAGAAUUAAGCCGUCUCUCCCAUAUCAGACAAGAGCCCCAAGAGACAGUACAUCGCUACUGGGCCAUGUUCCUCCUUGUGAUAAACAAGGUCAAGGAUUGUCGCCAGGAGGACGCAAUUUCACUUUUCUGCAAAAAUUGCACGAGCAAAGGGAUCCUUAAUGCUAUAAGUCAUCGUGACAUAGUACACUUUGCUGACUUAGAAGCCAUAGUACGGAAGUACUGUGCGAUGGAAAGUGCCUGGAAAACCCAAACAGACUUUUGGGACAAUCCGGCUCUCACUAAACCCUUCCUCCAAACUAAAAGGGCAAACUCUCGUAAGUUAACCGAUCCAAUUCCCCAAAAACCAAAGCCCACCCCAGGGCAUGGAACCGUAUUGGAAGAAUGACUCAAUGGGCCAUGCAAAAUUCACAGCACGCCGGACACUACGCCAACGCAUAGCCUUAGAGCAUGCUGGAUACUCCGGCAGGUAGCAAAAAGCGGCGAGGAUCUUCUUGUAAGCCAUAAAGCAAAACAACAUCCCGCCGAAGACAACAAUGCAGUACUUACAGUCUUCGAGACUUUCGCCUCAAAUAAUAGGCGCAAGCGAGCUUAUCGAAAUUCCACUGAAAUCUGCCAUGUGGCAAAAAUAAAUCCGUGGAACGACACUGCUAUAACUUUCAGCGCCAGUGACGAACCCAAAUUCCAGACAGUCCGGGCACCAACCGCUUUGGUCCUUAGCCCGAUCGUGGACGGCUUUCGGCUCACUAAAGUGCUCAUGGACAGCGGAAGCGGAUUAAACUUGAUCUAUGAAGAAACACUCAACAAGAUGGAAAUUGAUAAAAGCUGCAUUGAGCAAAGCGGGACAACCUUCAGGGGAAUCAUCCCUAGUUGGGAGGCACGGUGUGUGGGAAAAAUCACACUCGAUGUGGUAUUCUGCACCCCGGAGAAUUACAGGUCCGAAGAAAUCACAUUCCAAGUGGCACCUUUCAGCAGCGGAUACCACGCCCUUUUAGGGUGGGACGCAUUCACAAACUUUCAAGCUAUACCCCAUUACAGGUACAUGAAGCUUAAAAUGCCCGGACCCAAUGGAAUCAUCACUGUAGCCAGUGAUCCGGACGUCGCACUAGGCGCCGAAAAUAAAAUUGCAGCACUAGCCCUGGAAGCACUAUCCGAAGCCUUAGCAGCCGAAGAACUAACAAUGUUGCAUGCCAUAGUGGACAAGGACGACGUGAUACUCGACAAGCGACCCAAGUCCACCUAAUUUAAGCCCGCAGACGAGAUAGUCAAAUUCCAGGUCCAUCAAACGGACCCCACGAAGAUAGCUUCCAUCGGGACACAGUUGAGCCCCACAAUGGACGCCGCACUACGAGACUUCCUACGCGAGAAUUGGGACAUUUUUUCCUGGCAUCCUUCGGACAUGCCGGGCAUCCCACGCAGGCUGGCCGAACACAACCUCAAUAUACUGAAAGGAUACAAGCCAGUCAAACAUACUCUUAUGCGCUUCUCAGAGCCUAAACGGCAAGCCAUGGGAGAAGAGCUAGCCAAGCUACUUGAGGCCGGAUUCAUCAGAGAUAUCAAGCAUCCAGAUUGGUUGGCAAAUCUGGUAAUGGUACCAAAGAAGGACAAAUCCUGUCGCCUAUGCGUUGAUUUCAAAGACCUCAACAAGGCUUGCCCCAAGGAUCCCUUCCCCCUCCCUCGCAUCGACCAAAUCAUCGACGCCACCGCAGGACACGAUUCACUAUGUUUCCUCGACGCAUACUCCGGAUACCAUCAAAUAAAGAUGGCAGAGUCUGACCAAGCCGCAACGGCCUUCAUAAUGCCAUAUGGUCCUUUCUGCUUCAACACUAUGCCUUUCGGGCUUAAAAAUGCCGGCGCAACCUAUCAACGCAUGAUUCAAACAUGCCUGGAGAAGCAAAUCGGCAAAAUAGUGGAGGCGUAUGUGGACGACGUGGUCAUAAAAACAAGACACGUCGACACCCUAAUAGAUGACUUGAGGCUUAUGUUCGAUAACCUCCGAACAUACGACAUCAAGCUAAACCCACAAAAAUCUGUUUUCGGCGUACCCUCCAGGAAGUUGCUCGGCUUCGUUGUUUCCAAUAGAGGAAUUGAAGCAAAUCCGGCAAAAAUCCGAGCUCUGUCGCAGUUGGCUAUCCCAACAAACCUCAAACAUAUCCAGAAACUAGCUGGAUGCAUGGCUGCCUUAAGCCGCUUUAUCUCCCGACUAGGAGAAAAGGCACUACCCCUUUACCGCCUUCUUCGACGCACUGAACACUUCGUGUGGACGGAUGGAGCCGCGGCCGGACUGGAUGAAAUAAAGACCUUAUUGGCCAGUAAUCCAGUCCUGACAACGCCAAAUAUUGGCGAACCUAUGCUACUAUACAUAGCUGCAACACAUCAAGUUGUAAGCGCAGUGCUCGUUAUCGAACGAGAAGCAGACGGAUACAAAUUCCCGCUCCAAAAGCCGGUAUAUUAUGUGUCCACGGUCCUCACCCCAUGCAAUUCCUGAUACCUACACUAUCAAAAGAUAGCAUACGCGGUCUUCAUGGCAUCCCGGAAGCUACGACACUACUUCCAGGAGUGUUCGACUAUGGUGGCCUCCGAAGUACCACUGAACAACAUAAUAAACAACCGCGACGCUACGGGACGGAUUGCUAAAUGGGCCAUUGAGCUCCUUCCGUUCGACAUAACAUGCAAACCACGGCGGGCCAUUAAGUCGCAAGUAUUGGCUGACUUUGUCACCGAAUGGAUAGAAGCCGAACUCCCUAAAGAGUACGACAAUAAUCUAACUGGAUCAUGCACUUCGAUGGCUCUAAAAUGCUGGCCGGAUUGGGAGCAGGUGUAGUCCUGACUUCCCCCACUGGAGACACGGUCCAAUACGUACUCCAAAUAUUAUACACAGACUCCAACAACGCAGCCGAAUACAAGGCUCUGUUGCAUGGUCUUCGGAUGGCAGUCUCUAUGGGCAUUCAACGCAUGGAGGUGCGUGAGGAUUCAAACCUCACAAUAUCACAAAUAAACGGAGAUUUUGAUGCCAAAGAUCCAAAAAUGGCGGCCUGCCGUAAUGCCAUCCUCAAAAUGUCAGCUCGGAUCAAGGGGCUCGAAUCCACCAUGUGGCUCGAGAAAAUAACCAAGCGGCGGAUAUCCUCGCCUGCAUCGCGCCAAACGCGACCCUGUCCCACCCAACAUAUUCCUAGAAAGGCUGUUCAAGCCAUCCGUGGUAUGGGAAGGAGAGUCCGGCCAUACUAGUCCGGAUCCGAACACAACCCCAGAUUCUGAACCAUCUGACGUAAUCGGAGGCUCCGCCACCCAAAUAACACCUUCAGCCCACGAAAUCAUGGCUGUAAUUGCCUCGUGAACCGAGCCUUUCUUGGCCUACCUAAAUAGGCUAGAGCUCCCCGAGGACCAAAAUGAAGCACGUUAUAUUGUGCGGCGUUCCAAGGCCUACAAAGUACAUGAGGGAGAACUCUAUAAGACGAGUGCGACCGGAGUGCUCCAACGAUGCAUCUCCGAAGAGGAAGGGCGGCAGCUCCUGGCUGAAAUCCAUGCCGGACUUGGCGGGCACCACGCUGCGGCUCGGGCACUUGUAAGCAAGGCCUUCCAUACAGGCUUUUAUUGGCCGACAGCCCGAGCAGACGCACAAGACCUUGUCCAACACUGCGUUGGUUGCCAGCUCUUUGCCAAUAAGAGCCAUAUGCCCCCUACCGCUCUCCAAACAAUCCCCAUUACUUGGCCCUUCACGGUCUGGGGGCUGGAUAUGGUCGGACCUCCUAAAGGGGAAGCCAUAAGAAAAAAAUACUUAUUGGUCAUGGUGGACAAGUUCACCAAAUGGAUAGAAGCCAAACAAGUUAAAACGGCCGAAUCCGGACCAGCGAUAGACUUCAUAUCAGGGGUUGUACACCGUUACGGCGUCCCCCACAGCAUCAUCACUGACAAUGGCUGAAACUUCACAGCCGAUGAAGUGAAAACCUGGUGCGGCAACAUGGGCAUUAAGCUCGAUUACGCCUCCGCCUACCAUCCCCAAACAAACGGCCAGGUCGAACGCGCAAACGGUCUCAUCAUGAGCGGCAUCAAACCCAGACUAGUGCGGUCCUUGACGGAAUCGGACAUGCACUAGGUCGAGGAGCUCGACUCCGUACUCUAGGGGUUGCAGACCACGCCGAAUCGCACCACCGGAUACACACCAUUUUUUAUGGUGUACGGCGCAGAAGCAGUACUACCCUGCGACAUAAUCCACGACUCACCUCGUGUGCGCAUGUACGAAGAGAAGGAAGCCGAGUUAGAUCGGCAGGAUAACUUAGAUGCCCUGGAGGAGGAGCGUGAUGUCGCAAAAGCCCGUUCCGCAUUCUAUCAGCAGCAGGCUCGAUGAUAUCAAAGCAGAGAAGUGCGGGCCAAAACUUAUAAUAUUGGCGCACUUGUUCUACGCUUACCGGAGAAGAAGAAGGACAAGCUCAAACCUAAGUGGGAGGGUCCCUUCAUUAUUGAUAAAGUUCUCACCGGAGAAGCGUACCGCCUGCGUAAUGCAUCGGACAAUAGACCCGAGCCGAACCCAUGGAACGCGGCCAGACUCCGGAGAUUCUACGCCUAGCGCCAAACUCAGUGUUCGUCUCCUUACCCCCGCUCUUUUAAUUAUGUUCCUCCCCUUUUUCCUUUCUCGCCCUUUUUCCUUAUUCAAACAAAGCAUUCAAUACAGUGCAGAUGCUCGGAUCACUCCGGCCACACCAUGUGCGUAAACCAUACCUGGGGGCUUCCUAUACAGGAAGCUAAAUACAAUUACUUUCAUGGCGUCUUGCCUAUCACAUAUGUGUUCCUUUCUCCAUAUGUGCCUUUUCUUCACCAUUAUACGCAUCGAUAUGACUUAAGAUGUGGCCAUGCUGGGUUGCCUGGCUCUUGUGUUUAUGCCCUACGUUCCCAUUAAUUCGGCUAAGGCAUAAGGGGAGCACCUAUGCGAUUGUUACUGCCGGUUCAGCCGGAUGUGUACCUCAGACUGGGUAAAGCCGAAAGCUAGCGUUCUUAAGGGAAUAUUCGGUCGGUGAACAAAAGAUGUUUCUUUCAUUUAUUACAACGUGAAUCCCCAGAAGUUUUGUAUCCUGCGUUUUUGUUCGCAGUUCGGACAUGUACAUCGAUGCAUGCGUACCCAGGGAAAGGAACCCCUAACAAAACUAUUCUCCCUGGAAGAUGUUUCUUACUACCCAUGUAAUAUAACAUAACUAGUUGGGUACUUGUCUGUUCAAGCACUUAUGACCCCUACGCCUGGUUCCACGCAUACCCCGGUUCUGCAUAACUGAGCGGGUAUUCGGAUACACCCCGGACUGUCGGAUCCGGGGGCUGAAGCAAAAAGGUCUGCCAUGACAAAUGAUUUUUAAUCCGGCUAGGGACUACAUAUGUCCAUUAAAUUACAUAGUCACUUGGACUGACUAUAUUCUUCCUCUAUACCGUCCAACAGCCUAUCUAGCUUGCAAUCCUGUUGGGAAUACUUUGCGGCUAACGCUACCUGGUCAUACACCAGACUCACGGGAAUUUCUUGCCCAUCUGGCCCCGCCGGUCCGACUUCGGCCAUAUGGUUCGGGUCAAGCUUGGUGUAGCGCGUCUUCACCAUCGCCCAAGCUUCCCUUGCACCUUGUCGGCAGGCUGACACCUUCCACAAUCGGAAGCGCCGCCGUGCUCCUUGGAGCAUAUCCACGAGCUCCCCCAUGCCUCUUGGCAAGGAAGCGGAUGGCCACAAGGCCUGGGAAAUACCCUGCAUCACCUACCGAACUCGCUCAUGUAGCUGUGAGAGGUCUUGCAGUAAAUCACCUGCGGACGCGGGCAUCUCCUCUUUAGGACGGCCCAUCAACAUACCUACAGAUAUAAACUCUUUUAAUAUGCUUACUUGCCGAACUGUACAGCAGUUCGUUUGGGCACUUACUAUACAUGCCGCGACGAAGCCUUCUGUUCUCCUUCACGGAGUCCGCCAGCUAAGCUCGAACAUCUGAUAAUUCGACGCCCAGCCGGACAUUGGCGUCUUGGAGAUCAUUCUUCUCCCGCCUAACCUGCGUAAGCACACGCUCGCUAGCCUUCAGUUGUCUUUGGAGAUGCGACUCACUAUCUUUUACGAUCUCCGGAUUCGUCCAGGGAUGGUCUGCAGAAUUUUCUGUUAUACUUAUGAAGCAAGCCAACUGCUAACUGGUAUAUUCCUUUAAAAUUUCUCUAUUGAGACAAAUGUUACCAGAUGAGGCCUUCUGGGAUUCCUCUAGUUUGGCAACCGCGGCCCUCAGCUGAGUCUUGCACUCCUCCAGCUCUUGAGACAAUUGGGUAUUCUUAUCUACAAGGAUCUGUGCAUUAAAUGAUCCUUAAAGCAGUUGUUCCAACCGUUUCAAGUCUCAGGGGCUACUGCUAUACAUGCUUAUCAAAUUUUCUUACCCGUAUAUCUUUGGCAUACUGGUUCGUCGCUCGGGCGAGCCCGCCUUGAGCAGCUCAGAUGUAUGCGUCUCCCAAAUUGAAAGCAUUAAGUGCCUCUUCGAAAAAGAUGUUAUUGCAAAGUACGGCCCGUCGGCGCCGGUGAUUCAUGGAACUCUCUACUUCGAAAUUCGUGGCGGAGAGCAUAUCCGCAUCCUCUGUUGGAGGACAAUUCGACAUCGGCCCCGCAUUGGCCUCCUCUCUCGAAGCCGGUUCUGGAAUCCGGCUGGUGGAGGCGUGAUCGGCAGGAUCUCUGGAUAUAGUCCGGUGACUCCUCUUUUUGCCAGAACACAAAGGACGCUGUUACAUUUCGAACACAAUAAUCACAGAGCAGGUUUUUACCAUACCUUUGUAACGGCGUUUCUGACCUAACUGCCUUCCUCUUAAGCCUGCCUGACUCGGACGCCCUUUGCCGACGAGCCCCCAGGGGCUCGACGUCGCGUUCCGAUGGUCGUCUCUAUAAAAAAUACGAUUAUUUAUGCAUAAGGCAUGAUAUUAGAAAGGAGUCCUCUUCAGAGGAUAAGGUUUCGACUUUGCUUACACGCGAUCCAGGUAGCAGUCCGGGAUAGUCGGCGAUAAUAGCCAUCAAGGCGCCAUCGCAGCUGGCCUGAUAAAAUAUACCGUUGACAAGCUCCACAGUAAUAUCCGGAUCUUCUUCAAGUCCUGGAUCGAAGGCCCUUCCGGGGUCCUCUGGCUGCGGGGAGGGGCUAUUGAAUCCUUCCACGGCCCUCCUUAGUUCCUGCUCAGAAAUAUCAAGGUAAAUAAUCGUGACGAAGGACGCCAGAAUGAAUGGAGCGGGAGAAAAAGUGACGACUUACCCAGCUUGGGGGGUUGUACAUGGAAAAUCCAUCCCGUGGUUUAACAUGAAGGAAUUCUUCUUCUUCUCCUUUAUACAAAUCGGACAAUAUUCUCGCCAGAGCAGUGGCCGAAUGCGGACCUUUACGACCACAGCGGGUGGCAUCGUCUUCCUCAUUGUAGUGCCACAUGGGCUUCCCCCGAUAUUGAAGUGGCUGCACCCCCCGCAUUAUGCAUAUUGCUAUAACCUCGACUAUUGACAGCCCUGAUUUAGCCAGUAUCUUUAUCCUGCUCAUCUGGAAGUGUACUUCUCUGGUAUCCUCCUCUUGGGGGCCCUGAGGGCGCCAACUUCGGCAUGCCUUCGGUGGAGCAUUAUUGAACUCAGGGAGGCCCGUCCGGACUGGAUCCAGAAGGGGAACAUCAUCAACAUAGAACCACUCCGAGGGCCAGUUCUCGGGUGCCUUCUUGGGAGUGCCGGACAGGUAUCCGGUCUUGACGAUGCGCCAUACUUCUGCUCUGCCCACUUGACAUAUGGAUUCCCUCUGGUUGCGAGGGACGAGGCAGAACAACUUCUUCCAUAACCCGAAGUGAGCCUCGCAGCCUAGAAAUAGUUCACAAACGGCAACGUAUCCUGCUAUGUGCAGCACGGAGGCAGGAGUGAAGUUGUGCAGCUGGAGGCCAUAGAACUCCAGGAGCCCGCGAAGGAAUGGGUGGAUUGGAAACCCGACGCCUCUUAACAGAUGCGGGAUGAGGCAUAUUCGCUCCCCCGGGGAUGGGUUAGGAGAUCUCUCUGCUUUCUCCCCGCCAUUAUAGGUGGCCAGUCCAGCUCGGACAGGGACCAUGAAUGCCGGUGGAAGAAACCCUUGGGUCUGCAACUCUAUCAAACGGCUUUGAGGAACUGAACACUCUUCCCAGUCACCUGGCUAGGAGCGAAGGAACGAGAAGAAGAGCUACGGCGACCGGCCAUGUUGGAAUGUUUUUUUUCUGGAGCACUCUGUUGGAUGCUUGCUCAAGGGAAGAAGGGCGAGGUUUGGAUCUGAGGAUCCCCAUCCCUUCAAAUAGACGGUUUGCCUACAGGGACGGGGGGUAAAUGCAAAAAUGCCCCGGCUCCUCGUAUUCGCUCGACACGUGGAGAUGGCCAUUAUUGAAGCACAGAAGCCGAGGAGUACAACAUUGAUGGGAAGCCAGACACUGUUCGUUAUAACAGGUACUUUGGAGUAUUCGGAGAUGGAACCCGCCUUGCAAUGUCGAAGACAAACUGCACGCCGGACUCAUCGUCAUUGAAACCUGGUUCAAGGGCUACUGAGGGAGUCCUGGAUUAGGGGGUAUCCGGACAGCCAGACUAUAUACUUUGGCCGGACUGUUGGGCCGUGAAGAUACAAGACUCAAGACUUCGUCCCGUGUCCGGAUGGGACUCUCCUUUGCGUAAAAGACAAGCUUGGCGAUCCGGAUAUUAGAUUUCCUUCUUUGUAACCGACUCUGUGUAAACCCUAGCCCCCUCCGGUGUCUAUAUAAACCGAAGGGUUUAGUCCUUGGAGACACAAUCAUAAUCAUCAUAGGCUAGCUUCUAGGGUUUAGCCUCUAUGAUCUCGUGGUAUAUCAACUCUUGUAAUACUCAUAUCAUCAAGAUCAAUCAAGCAGGAAGUAGGGUUUUACCUCCAUCGAGAGGGCCCGAACCUGGGUAAAACAUCGUGUCCCUUGCCUCCUGUUACCAUUAGCCUUAGACGCACAGAUCAGGACCCCCUACCCGAGAUCCGCCGGUUUUGACACCGACAUCGGCCUCGUCGAUAUGGUCGGGUAAUCCACACUACACCCACACCAUCCUCCUCCUUUCCCAUCCCACAUGCCCCAACCGACAGCGUGACACCUUCCGCCGAAAUCACUAUCCCUUGAUACGUCUCCAAUGUAUCUACUUUUCCAUACACUUUUGCCCUUGUUUUGGAUCUGAACCUAUUAUGUUUUCAUGAAUAUAUGUGAGUUCUUGAUCCUAUCUUGCAAGUCAGUAUUCACCUACUAUGCGUUAUGAUCCGGCAACCCCGAAGUGACAAUAAUCGAUACCACUUCCGGUGAUGACCUUAGUUUGAGGAGUUCAUGUAUUCACUAAGUGCUAAUGCUUUGGUCUGGUACUCUAUUAAAAGGAGGCCUUAAUAUCCCUUAGUUUCCAAUAGGACCCCGCUGCCACGGGAGGGUAGGAUAAAAGAUGUCAUGCAAGUUCUUUCCCAUAAGCACAUGACUAUAUUCGGAAUACAUGCCUACAUUACAUUGAUGAACUGGAGCUAGUUCUGUGUCACCCUAUGUUAUAACUGUUGCAUGAUGAAUUGCAUCCGACAUAAUUAUCCAUCAUUGAUCCAUUGCCUAUGAGCUUUUCACAUACUGAACCUUGCUUACUUACUUCUCCGUUGCCACUGUUACGAUUGCUACAAAAGUGUUACUGUUACUUUUGCCACUGUUACUGUUACUUCCAUACUAUUUUUCUACUAAAUACUUUGCUGCAGAUAUUAAGUUUUUCAGGUGUGGUUGAAUUGACAGCUCAGAUGCUAAUAGUUGAGAAUAUUGUUUUGCUCCCCUUCUGUCGAAUCAAUAAAUUUGGGUUGAAUACUCUACCCUCAAAAACUGUUGCGACCCCCUAUACUUGUGGGUUAUCAAGAUUCUUUUCUGGCGCCGUUGCCGGGGAGCAUAGCUCUAUUCUUUGAGUCACUUGGGAUUUAUAUCUGUUGAUCACUAUGAGGAACUUGAAAGAUGAAAGAACCAAGAUUUUUCCCUCAACUAUGAGGGGAGGUAGGGAACUGCCAUCUAGCUUUGCACUUGAUUCACCUUCUGUUAUGACUAAAUUUGUGACACCUACACCUGCUCCUGCUAUUGAUUCUGAUAUGUCGCACGUUAUUGAUGAUGCCACUUCUGCUAUCCAUGAUGCUUAUGAUGAAACUACUUCUCUACUUGAUAAUACUGUGCCAUUAGGUGAAUUUCUUGAUGAACAACUUGCUAGGGUUAGAGAGAAUGAAAUUAUUGAAACUGAUAAUAUUGUUGAAAGUGAUGACGAAGAUUCUCCCCCUAGAUAUGAAUUUCCUGAUGUACCUGGGGGUUAUGUUAUGGAUGAAGAAACUGCUAGAGACUUUCUUGCUUGGAAUGAUAGAUAUGAUCUUAAGAAACUGUUAGCCAAGCUGAAAGAAAAGUCUUUGAAUGCUAGAACAAAAUAUGACCUUGCUUUUGCUACUUCACCUAUCUACGUUACUGAUAAGGAUUAUGAAUUCUCUAUCGAUCCUGAGUUAAUUACUUUGGUUGAAUCUGAUCCUUUUUAUGGCUAUGAAUCUGAAACUGUUGUGGCACAUCUUACUAAAUUGAAUGAUAUAGCCACCCUAUUUACUCAUGAGGCAAAAAUCGCUAUUACUAUAUCUUUAGAUUGUUUCCUUUCUCAUUAAAGGGUGAUGCUUAGAUAUGGUUUAAUUCUCUUGCUCCUGGUUGUGUGCGUAGUCCCCAGGAUAUGAUUUAUUACUUCUCCACAAAAUAUUUUGCCGCUCAUAAGAAACAAGCUGCCUUAAGGGAAAUAUAUAACUUUGUGCAAAUUAAAGAAGAGAGUCUCCCACAAGCUUGGGGGAGGCUUCUCCGAUUACUUAAUGCUUUGCCUGAUCAUCCUCUCAAGAAAAAUGAAAUACUUGAUAUCUUUUAUAAUGGACUAAUCAAUGCUUCUAGAGACCACCUAGAUAGUUGUGCUGGUUGUGUUUUCAGGUAAAGAACUAUUGAGCAAGCUGAACUGCUAUUGAAUAAUAUAUUGAGUAAUGAUAAUGAUUGGACACUUCCUGAACCAAUUCCUAAGCCAACUUCGAAGAAAAGGGGUAUUCUAUUUCUCAGUCCUGAAGAUAUGCAAGAGGCAAAGAAAUCUAUGAAAGAAAAAGGUAUUAAAGCUGAAGAUGUUAAGAAUUUACCGCCUAUUGAAGAAAUACAUGGCCUUAAUAAGCUGACACAGGUAGUAAAGGUAAAUUCUCUCUAUAGAUUUUAUGAAGUUGAUAUUCCUCAUAAUAAGUCUGCUAGUCAAUGCUUGGAUGAGUUUGAUAAUUUUAUUGUUAAACAAGAAAACUUCAAUGCUUAUGUUGGUAGACAAUUGAAACGUAAUGCUUAUAUGGUUGAACACUUGAGUGAUUAUAUGUCUAGAGUUAAAGGUGACCUUAAGCUUAUUAGUAAACAUGCAUCCAUGGUUACCACUCAAGUAGAACAAGUACUUAAAGCACAAGAUGAUUUGCUCAAUGAAUUAAAUAAUAAGAACAAUGAUAAUGAUGUUAGAGUUAUGACUAGAUGUGAUAGAAUGACCAAGUAACCUUUGUAUCCUGAGGGCCACCCUAAGAGAGUUGAACAAGAUUCUCAGAGAACUAAUAUUGAGGCACCUAGUCCUUCUAAGAAAAAGAAAAAGAAAAAUGAUAGGACUUUGCAUGCUUAUAGUGAACCUAUUAUAGACACACCUGAGAAUCCUAAUGAUAUUUCUAUUUCUGAUGUUGAAACACAAUCUGGUAAUGAACAUGAACCUAGUAAUAAUGUUAAUGAUGAUGUUCAUGUUGAUGCUCAACCUAGAAAUAACAAUGAUGUAGAGAUUGAACCUACUGUUGAUCUUGAUAACCCACAAUCAAAGAAUCAACGAUAUGAUAAGAGGGACUUCCUUGCUAGGAAGCACGGUAAAGAAAGAGAACCAUGGGUUCAGAACCCCAUGCCCUUUCCUCCUAAGCCAUCCAAGAAAAAGGAUGAUGAGGAUUUUGAGCGCUUUGCUGAAAUGAUUAGACCUAUCUUUUUGCGUACGCGUUUGACUGAUAAAUGAAUCCUUAUGCCAAGUACAUGAAAGAUAUUGUUACAAGUAAAAGAAAGAUAUCGGAAGCUAAAAUUUCCACCAUACCUUCCUAUAUGCGGUAUUGACCUGCCAUUCCAAGUAAAUUUGUAUGUGCCAAACUCUAAACCUUCAAAUGAAAUUCUAUUUUGUUUGCUCGAAUAGCUCAUGUAUCAACUAGGGUUGUCUAUAUCUUCCAUGCUAGGUGGGUUAUUCUCACGAUGAGUGGACUCCGCUCAUCAUUCACGAGAAAAUGGCUGGUAACCGGGAUGCCUAGUCCCAUGCUCAAAUCAAAUCAAAAUAAAUGCAAUAAAAACUCCCCCAGGAUUGUUGUUAGUUGGACGGCACCCGUUGUUUCGGGCCAGCCAUGGAUUGAUGCUUGUUGGUGGUGGGGGAGUAUAAACUUUACCAUUCUGUUUUGGAACCGCCUAUAAUGUAUAUAGCAUGGAAGAUAUCAAGAUCUCUUGGUUGUUAUGUUGACAAUGAAAGUAUGCCACUCAAAAUAUUAUUUAUCUCUGUUUCGAAACUCGAGCUCUGGCACCUCUGCAAAUCCCUACUUCCCUCUGCGAAGGGACUAUCUAUUUAAUUUUAUGUUGAGCCAUCAUCCUCUUAUUAAAACGCACCAGUUGGAGAGCACCGCUGUCAUUUGUAUGCAUUGCUAUUAAUUUACAUUGAGUAUGAUUGCGACUGGAUUUCUUUUGCCAUGAAUUACAAUGUCUAGCCAGUCCUUGAUCUUCAGGGGUGCUCUGCAUUUAUGUUUUGCUGUGUCAGAAAGGGCUAGCAAGAUACCAUAUUGUUAUAUCAUAUUAUGAUUGUUUUGAGAAAGUGUUGUCAUUCGAGAUUUAUUAUUAUUUCUCGCUAGUUGAUUAUGCCAUUGAGUAAACAUGAGACCUAAAUGUUAUUGUGAAUAUGGUUAGUUCAAAAUCUUUGCUGAAAACUUGAAUGCUGGCUUUACAUAUUCGUAACAACAAGAUCAAACAGAGUUUGUAUAAGUUUUUCUUUAUCACUUUCAGUUUGUCAACUGAACUACUUGAGGACAAGCAAAGGUUUAAGCUUGGGGGAGUUGAUACGUCUCCAAUGUAUCUACUUUUCCAAACACGUUUUCCCUUGUUUUGGACUAUAAGUUGCAUGAUUAGAAUGGAACUAACCCGGACUGACAUUGUUUUCAGCAGAAUUGCCAUGGUGUUAUUUUUGUGCAGAAAUAAAAGUUCUCGGAAUGACCUGAAAAUCCACGGAGACACGUUUUGGAAUUAAUAAAAAAUAUCGGCGAAAGAAUCAGUAUAAGAGGGCCCACACCCUGUCCACGAGGGUGCAGGGCGCGCCCCCUGCCUUGUGGGUCCCCUGGACCUCCACUGACUUCAACUCCAACUCCAUAUGAUCACUUUCGGGGAGAAAAAAAUUAGAGAGAAGGAUUCAUUGUGUUUUACGGUAUGGAGCUGCCGCCAAGCCCUAGUCUUCCCCGGGAGGGCUGAUCUGGAGUCCGUCCGGGGCUCCAGAGAGGGGAAUCCGUCGCCAUCAUCAUCAUCAACCAUCCUCCAUCACCAAUUUCAUGAUGCUCACCACCCUGUGUGAGUAAUUCCAUCGUAGGCUUGCUGGACGGUGAUGGGUCGGAUGAGAUUUACCAUGUAAUCGAGUUAGUUUUGUUAGGGUUUGAUCCCUAGUAUCCAUUAUGUUCUAAGAUUGAUGUUGCUAUGACUUUGCCAUGCUUAAUGCUUGUCACUAGGGCCCGAGUGCCAUGAUUUCAGAUCUAAACCUAUUAUGUUUUCAUGAAUAUAUGUGAGUUCUUGAUCCUAUCUUGCAAGUCAAUACUCACCUACUAUGUGUUAUGAUCCGGCAACCCCGAAGUGACAGUAAUCAGGACCACUCCCGGUGAUGACCGUAGUUUGAGGACUUCAUGUAUUCACUAAGUGCUAAUGCUUUGGUCCGGUACUCUAUGAAAAGGAGGCCUUAAUAUCCCUUAGUUUCCAAUAGGACCCUGCUGCCACGGGAGGGUAGGACAAAAGAUGUCAUGAAAGUUCUUUUCCAUAAGCACGUAUGACUAUAUUCAGAAUACAUGCCUACAUUGCAUUGAUGAACUGGAGCUAGUUCUGUGUCACCCUAUGUUAUAACUAUUGCAUGAUGAAUUGCAUCUGACAUAAUUAUCCAUCAUUGAUCCAUUGCCUACGAGCUUUCCACGUACUGAACCUUGCUUAGUUACUUCUCUGUUUCCACUAUUACGAUUGCUACAAAACUGCUACUGUUACUUUUGCCACUGUUACCGUUACUUCCAUACUACUUUGCUACUAAAUACUUCACUGCAGAUAUUAAGUUUUUCAGGUGUGAUUGAAUUGACAACUCAGUUGCUAGUACUUGAGAAUAUUCUUUGGCUUUCCUUGUGCCGAAUCAAUAAAUUUGGGUUGAAUACUCUACCCUCGAAAACUGUUGCGAUCCCCUAUGCUUGUGGGUUAUCAUCCCCCUCCUCCAAUUAAGCGCCGGCCACAGCCAUUUUGCACGCAGUAUAAUGUGGAGCUCAGUAGCAUCUGGCAGCGGAGAAGCAAAUCGCGGCCGCAUGAGCGCACGAGGUCGCUAUGGCUGCCAUGUGUGCCGACCGCCCGAUCUUGGAGGAGCACUUCGUCUUCGAAGCCACCGUCGACACCGCCACACGGUUGUCUACUUUAAAAUACAAUUCGUGAUGUUUUCUCGAGGCCACCGCCAAUGCCUUCUAGUGAUUUGUCCUCUGUAAUGUUAAUAUGCAAUCUGAUGUUCAGUUUACAGUUUGGUCCUUUGAAACGUAAUGUUCAGUUAACAGUUUGGUCCUCUGAAAUGUAAUGUUCAGUUAACACUUUGGUCCAACAACUUCUACAUUUCGUAGUAUUGUUCUCAAGCAUUCUUUGUUUUGUUAACUGUAUUAUCUUCUAGUACAUGUUUCUAUUCUGCAAUGUCGUGUUUAGUUAACUAUUUUGGUUCAUUUGGUCUGUUAUCCAUUUAACUGUUUGGUUCAGUUCUGCAAAUUGAUUUUCAUUUGCUGUAGGUACAAUUUUGUAUUGUUAUGCAUGUGAAAUAAAUCAAAUUUGGCUGUACUCAAUACAUAUUCUACUAGUAGUAUGACAACUCUCAGUUAACCUGAUCAAGAUCUUCCUUAUGUGUGUUGCAGGGAAACAAUGGGAGACACUAUGGUUUACCAUCGAGGUUUGUUCAAGCAUGGUCCUUUGGCUAAUAGCACAUUAUUGUGCAGUUGGAGGAAUCAUUCUAAUAUUUAGGUUUCUUACAAUUUAGUCUUGCACAUGUAGGUCCUGUUAUCAGAGGCUAGACCCACUGUUCGACCCAUUUUGCAUAUGGGGAAAUGAGAUGUCCAUGAAUAUCAGUCAAGUUAAGAAAUUCAGAAAGAUUGUUAGGAUGAAGAAACUUGCGAAGAAUGAUAGCAAGAUCUUUGUUUGCAAAAUUAAGAAGACAUCAGUCAACUAUAGGAUGGUACUAACUCUUUUACCUUGUUUUUACCCCUUGCGCCAUCAGUCAACUAUAGGAUGGUACUAACUCUCUUACCUUGUUUGCAUAUCUUUGUUUUCAGUACUUUUCAAAGCAGUUCACUGAUGAUUACCUCUCAAACCACCUGCAUGGUCAAGAGGUGAGGAAGGUAUUCAUUCAACACCCACGGUACAAUAUUGAAGUCUUGCUGAAGAGGACGAAGGUUGGGCGGGCAAUUAUCCAUAGCCACUGGCCUAAAGUUGCAAGGACAUUCAACAUCACUAAAGGCUCAACAUUUGCCUUCCACUUCUGCAGUUUCCAAGAUGAGGUUCAUAUGUCUAUUUACCGUGUAUGAUGCUACUUUCCAAAGGUUUUUGAUGUUGCAUGUGAAACUUGGUGUUGUUGUGUAAUGGAAGAACUGAGUGCCGAAGCUAUCUGAUGUAAUUCGAUUAUGAAAUCCUGGUUGCUAUUAUACGAAUAUGAAAUAUCUGGUGUGCUUUUAUAAGAAAUAUCAAUUUGAUUAGUACAUGGAUUAUCAAUAAUAGGCUAAUGACCCUGCUUAUUGGGGUUUUCUAUUGCAGGCGGUUACUCAGACAGCACCGUGGGCGAUGAACUCAAAUAACACGCACGGUUUCUAGAAAGUCGGGUGUUCGAUCAACUAACAAUCACACACGGCUUCCGACAGAGAACUAUUUGCGUUAGGCCACCUUGCACAAACAUUUCCACACACAAAACUGUGUGUGAUAUAUAUACGAGCGGAAAUGUUUUUCUGGGAUUCACCGUGUGGGAUGUACAUACGAACGGAAACAAUUGGGUUCUGAUGCCUCGCCCGAUCGCACACGAACCAGCUUGUGUGCCAGGAGGGCCUAUCCCUGACGGUUUCUGGAUCAUGUGGGAAGGACCCCCUAUCACCCACACUCACUAGGCGAUGGUUCCAAGUGCGAUCGCGGAAAGGGGUUAAAAACCGUUUGUAUAGCAUGUCGAUGUACCAGUGUAGCCAGAGCGGUAGUACCGCACGGGAGGCGCGGUAGUACCGCACGGAUUCAAAUCUGGCGCGAACGGAUCUAGGCACAUCCACAACUUUGGAUCGGUGCUACGGUUGAUCAAAAUUACUGUGUGGCAACAUACCAAAUAGCAUCUCUACUGCACUACUACUCUCCUACAUCCUCCUCUUGCAAUGACUUGGCCAAAAAUCUCAAGAACAACAUGCAUCUCCCCAAAACCUAGAAGCAAAACUACGAGGCAAAGAGAGAGGGAUUUGGGGAGAAACCUUGUUCCAUGGCAAGAGGGCGAGGUGGGGAUCGAUCCCACCAGUCGGAAUGCGAGGAGAGCGGUCGGAGAAGGAGAUCCGACGAGGUCCUCCGACACUGUUCUUGGCCAGGAGAGAGAGAAGAAGUGGGCAAACAGAGUUGAAUGGGUAUGGGGAGUUGGAACUCCCCCUGCCCGCUCUUGACCCCCACCCGCUCGCGACAACAUGGUAGUACCGCGGGUCAUUGUGGUAGUCCCGCCCAGGCGGAAGUACCGCUCUUCCAGCGGCAAUAAAAAAUUACUAUCAUGCUGGUAGUGGUAGUACCAUGCUCAUCUCCUGCGGUAGUAUCGUGGCUAGCCACGGUAGUACCGUAAACCCAAGAAAGUACACAUUUCGACAAAACAUAGGAACAAGGCCUUUGCAAAGCAACCUUCAAGCGAACGGACACGCAAACGAGCACACACACGAGACAACUCAAACACAAACACGGCUCAACAAGAAGGCAAAAGACAACGAGGAGCGAACACGAGCCAAAACCUCUCUAGAGGAGACGGCGGUGGCUGAAGACACCUAUGUUUGAGUCAAUUGGUAUGGCACCGCGAAGAAUUAUCCUUGGGCCCAUGACCAAAACUCAUCUUUGAAGCACAAGUACCAUCAAGAAUGGCUAAUGUGAAAGAGUUGAUCAAUUUAUGCAUAAUGGGGGGAGGGAGAGUUCAUUGAAAGAACAACACUCCCCCUAUGUCCAUGCCUACACCUAAACAAGACAUCAAGAUGAGUAUGGUGGGGUGUGAAUGGGUUCAAGCUACAUUGCUCGAAUCAAUGAUAUUUAGCUCAUGCCUUAACUGACGAAAUCUUGCUUCAUACAAGGGCUUCGUGAAAAUAUCUGCAAGGUUAUCAUGAGUGUUGACAUAUUUGAUCUUGAUCUCCCCUCGCCUAAUGUGAUCCCAGAUGAGGUGAUAUCAAAUCUCAAUAUGCUUCAUCUUGAAGUGUUGCACCGGGUUGAGAGAGAUCUUGAUGGCACUUUCAUUGUCACACCAAAGAGGCACUUCGUCACCAAUGACACCAUAAUCCUUCAAAGUUUGCCUCAUCCAUAGAAGUUGAGCACAACAACUACCGGCAGCCACAUACUCCGCUUUAGUGGACGAGAGAGACACACAACUUUGCUUCUUAGAAGACCAACUCACCAAAGACCAACCAAGAAAUUGGCACCCUCCGGAGGUUGAAUUCCUAUCCACUCUGUCUCCCGCUCAAUCUGAGUCUGAAUAGCCCAAAAGGUUGAAGUUGGCUCCUCUUGGGCACCAUAAUCCAAAGUUUGGGGUAUGAGCCAAAUAUCGGAAGAUUCGUUUGACCGCCACAUACUGGCUUUCCUUAGGUGCGGCUUGAAACCAUGCAGAAAUUCCCACGCUCAACAUGAUAUCCGGUCUAGAUGCACAAAGGUAACGCAAGGAGCCAAUCAUGGAACGAUAUACCUUUUGUUCUACCGCUUUGCCAUUGGGAUCUAUUUCGAGUUGGCAUUUGACGGGCAUUGGAGUGGAGGCUGGCUUGACAUCACUAAGCUUGAAUAUCUUGAGCAUGUCUUGAGUGCAUUUGGCUUGGUUGAUGAAGGUUCCUUCUCUUCUUUGCUUGAUUUCAAACCGAGAAAGAACUUCAACUCUCCCAUCGUGGACAUCUUGAACUUCGAGGUCAUGAGAGCGGCAAAUUCCUCCUUGAAAGCUUUGUUAGGGGAACCAAAGAUAAUAACAUCAACAUAUACUUGGCAUACAAACAACUCCCCUUUGACCUUCUUAGUAAAAUGGGGUCGAUUUUCCCAAUUUCAAACCCACGAUCCGGUAAGGUGCUCAUACCACGCACCUGGGGCUUGUUUAAGGCCAUAGAGUGCCUUAUCGAGUUGGUACACAUGAUUGGGGAACUCGGGAUCCUCAAACCCCGAGGGUUGUUUGACAUACACCAACUCAUUAAUAGGACCAUUAAGAAAAGCACUCUUCACAUCCAUUUGUUGCAACUUGAAGUUAUGAUGAGAAGCAUAAGCAAUCAACAAACGAAUAGAUUCAAGUCGAGCAACGGGAGCAAAGGUUUCACCAUACUCGAUACCCUCGACUUGGGAGUAGUCUUGUGCUACCAAAUGAGCCUUGUUGCAAACAAUAAUUCCAUGAGCAUCUUGCUUGUUCUUGAAUAUCCACUUGGUUCCAAUGACAUUAUGGUUCCCCGUUGGCUUUGGCACCAAUCUCCACACCUUAUUGUGCUCGAAGUUGUUGAGUUCUUCAUGCAUGGCAUUGAGCCAAUCCAGAUCCUCGAGCGCCUCAUAGACCUUUCAGGGUUCAACACAAGAAACAAACGCGUGAUGUUCAUAAUAGUUUGCCAAUUGUCUAUGAGUGCUUACCCCUUUUCUCAAACUUCCAAGAACAUUCUUCAUAAGAUGAUAUUUGGUAGUGAGCUUGGAAGUAAUCUUGGCGGCACGACGCUCCAAUUCCUCCUUAAGAGAUAGUUGAGGAGCGGAAACUUGAUCAUGUUGAGCGUCGUCUUGAGCAUGUUCUUGAUCUUGAGCUUGAUCUUGAUCUUGAACUUGCUCAGGAGGGAGAACUUGACCUUAGGCAUCACUUGGUGGUUCACCACCAUCUUGAGGUUGAUCUUGCCCUUAAUCUUGUUCAUUUGGUUGAGGGCCUUCACUUUGUUCUUCGGAAGCGUGUGGGUCUUGGGUUGGUGAUGGCUCCACUUGAGUGGAGCUUUGUCCUUCUCCUUUGGCCACAAGGGGUUCCUCAAUGGGUAGGAUAUGGCCAACACCCAUUCUUCUUAUGGCUUGGGGAGGUAUUUCAUCACCUACAUCACAAGUACCACUUUGCUCCGCUUGGGAGCCGUUAUUCUUGUCAAACUCCAUGUUACACGUCUCCUCAAUGAGUCCCGUGGACUUGUUGAGGACACGGUAAGCACGAGAGUUUGUAGCAUAACCAACAAAUACGCCCUCAUGAGCUCUAGCCUCAAAUUUAGACAAAUGAACACCUUUCUUGAGAAUGAAACACUUACAACCGAACACCCGGGAGUACUUGAGGUUGGGCUUGUUACCGGUAAGUAUCUCAUAUGGAUUCAUGUUCAAGCCCUUGCGGAGAUAGAGCCUAUUGGAUGCAUGACAAGCGGUGUUGAUGGCUUCAGACCAAAAGUUGUAGGGAGACUUGAACUCCUCCAUCAUGGUCCUUGCCACGGCCAUCAACGUUCGGUUCUUCCUCUCCGCUACACCAUUUUGUUGAUGGGUGUAAGGUGCGGAAUAUUGAUGCUUGAUCCCCUCAUCACUAAGAAACUCAUCCAAGGUAUAGUUCUUGAACUCGGUGCCAUUGUCACUUCUUAUUGUCAAGAUCUUUGCAUUGUGUUGACGUUGAGAUUCAUUUGCAAAGUUGAUGACGGUUUGUUGAGUCUCACUCUUCCUCUUGAAGAAAUAUACCCAAGUGUAUCUUGAAUAAUCAUCCAUAAUCACCAAGAAAUACUUCCUACCCCCAAGACUAUCAAAGGAUGGAGGCCCAAAGAGAUCCAAGUGAAGGGGAUCCAAGGGUCUCUUCGAGUAUAUGAUAGUCGUGGGAGGGUGAGCCUUAUCAUGUAGCUUUCCUUUGACACAAGUACUGCAAGCAUGGUCUUUGGCAGAACUCACAUUCGUUAGUCCAUGGACAUGGUCCCCCUUGAGAAGACUUUGCAAAGAUCUCAUGUUGACAUGGGCUAAACGGAGAUGCCAAAGCCAUCCCAUGUCAACUUUAGCCAUUAGGCAUGUCGCGGUCUUAGUGGGUGCUCCAAAAAGUUAAUCACAUAAAGACCGUUCUCGACAUGCCCAACAAAGACUACUUUAAGAGUCUUGCUCCACAAGAGGGCCACAUUAUCAAUUUUAGAAUGUGGCAAAGCCCAUGAUCGCAAGUUGACGAACGGAAAGUAAAUUGUAUGCAAGGGACUCAACAAGCAUGACUUUCUCGAUCGUGAGAUCAUGAGAAAUGACAACCUUGCCAAGACCCAAUACCUUAGAAGACGAGGCAGUACCCCACUCGACAUUGGUGGACAUAGAUGAGACCUUGUGCACGUCCACCACCAAGUCCUUGCUUCCGGUCAUAUGAUUUGUGGCUCCACUAUCGAGCAACCAUGAUCCCCUACCGGAAGCAAACACCUACAAGAGAUCAAUGCUUGAUUUUAGGUACUCAUUUAGUAAUUGGUCCUUUUAUGUUAGUAACAAGGGUCUUAGGAACCCAAAUAGACCAUUCAAUGUAGUCAUAAGGAGAACCAACAAAUUUGGCAUACACAUGCCCAUCACUAGCACGACAUAGCACAUAAGAAGGGUUAAAGUCACCAACUUUGUUGGAAGGAGUGGCAAUGCCCUUCUUGACAACACCACCCUUCACAUUUGUAACUCCCACGAUGCGGCUAUAUCUCCCACGUGUCGAGGCACGACUUAGAGGCAUAACCGCAUUGUGGUUUUGUCGCAAAACGGGUCAUCUUCACACAAUCCCAUGUAAUCAACAAGAAAGGGAUAAAUAGAGUUGGCUUACAAUCGCCACUUCACACAACACUUAAAUAAGUCAUACAUCAUCCAAAAUACACACAUAGUCCAACUACGGACAAAUCCAAAUGAAAAGGAAGAUAACCCCAAAUGCUAGAUCCCCGAUCGUCCCAACUGGGCUCCACUACUGAUCAUCAGGAAAAGACACGUAGUAAUGGCCAAGGUCCUCGUCAAACUCCCACUUGAGUUCGGUAGCAUCACCUGCACUGGUAUCAUCGGCACCUGCAACUAUUUUGGUAGUAUCUGUGAGUCACGAGGACUCAGCAAUCUCAAAACCCGCAAGAUCGAGACUAUUUAAGCUUAUGGGUAGGAUGUGGUAAUGAGGUGGAGUUGCAGCAAGCGCUAAGCAAAUAUGGUGGCUAACAUAUGAGUACAAGAGUAAGAUGAGAAACUACGCAAUGGUCGUCAUCUAGAAGUGAUCAAGAAGUGAUCUUGAAGUCUACUUACGUUCAAACAUAACCCAAACCAUGUUCACUUCCCGGCCUCCGCCGAAAAGAGACCAUCCGGCUAUGCACGCGGUUGACGCAUUUUAAUUAAGUUUCGUGUCAACUUCUCUACAACCGGAUAUUAACAAAUUCCCAUCUGCCACAUAACCAUGGGCAUGGCUCUCGAAAGUUUAUACCCUGCAGGGGUGUCCCAACUUAGCACAUCACAAGAUCUCAUGAUCAGCGAAGGAUAUUCCUUCUCCCGGGAAGACCCGGUCACUCUCGGAAUCCCGGUUACAAGACAUUUCGACAAUGGUAAAACAAGACCAUCAAGACCGCCCGACUGUGCCGACAAAUCCCGAUAGGAGCUGCACAUAUCUCGUUCUCAGGGCACAACGGAUAGGUCAACCUACGAGUAAAACCAGACCUCGAGUUGCACCGUGGUGACCCUGCAGUCUGCCCAUUUUGGACCAACACUCAGAGGAGCACUGGCCCAGGGGGGUUAAAUAAAUAUGACCCUCCGACUCAUGAAAACCCAAGGGAAAGUUAGUAGGUUGUUAGGCAAAUGUAAAACCAAGGUUGGGCCUUGCUGGAGGAAUUUUAUUCAAAGCGAACUGUCAAGGAGUUCCCAUAAACCCGCCCGUGUGAGGAACGUAAAAUCAAGGAACAUAACACCGGUAUGACGGAAACUAAGGCGUCAAGAGUGGAACAAAACACCAGGCAAAAGGCCGAGCCUUCCACCCUUUACCAAGUAUAUAGAUGCAUUAAUUAAAAUAAGAGAUAUUGUGAUAUCCCAACAUAAACAUGUUACAACAUGGAGCAAUCUUCAACUUCACCUGCAACUAACAACGCUAUAAGAGGGGCUGAGCAAAAGCGGUAACUUAGCCAAACAACGGUUUUCUAGGAAGGUGGGUUAGAGGCUUGACAUGGCAAUAUGGGAGGCAUGGUAAAUAAGUGGUAGAUAGCACAGCAUAGCGAUAGAAUGAAGCAACUAGCAAGCAAACAUAGAAGGUGAUAUCGAGGGUAAUGGUCAUCUUUCCUGAGAUCUCACAAGGAAGAAGAACGAGUCCAAGAAGAAGACAAAUGGAAGUAGUCGAACGAAUCCUCACAACUCCGGAACGAAACCGAAGCUACCGAGAGAAGCAAACCAGAAAGAAGCAAACAACAUGGUAAACAACCCUCACAUAAACAUGGCACGAUGCACAACCAAGUAUGAUGCAUGUCCGGUUUAAUUAGGCAUGGCAUGGCAAAAUGCAACAAACAAUACUACACUUUAAGUGGGGCUCAAUAUGUAACGAGUUGCAUAUUUAUGGGACACCACAAUCAAUUAUUUACUUCAUUCUCGUUUAGCUACUCAUCAAUAUUAAAUGUUAGUUAACAUGGCAAGAGGUCAAGCAUAAUAAAACUAUAUAUCUAGGCAAUUUUAAAUGAGGCCGGAAAUAAUAAACAACAAUUCCGGAAAAUCCCCAUGUCAUUUAGCAAUUUAAAGCAACAACAAUUUUAAACAUUUUAAAUGUUGUUAUCAUGAUGCGGAUGACAUAUGCAAGUUAUAUGCAAUUUUAUGAAAAUGUUGACAUGAGCAUGUUAUGAAGCAUUUGUCACUGUGGUGGAAAGAAAGGGUGCCACGACGACGAAUCCGAAAAUAAUGAUUACGGCAACAUCUCGGUUCUGAUAACUCGUGGAGCGACCGGUGCAAACGAAGAUGUGGAUGUGCGGAACAUGCAAAAGAUGGUGGGGUGAUCCCGGAUACUGGGUUCCCAAGGGAUGACCGCAUGGCAAAUGAGUAGGAACGUGCAAAGGCAUCUCGGACAUGGUGCAACCAUGAGCAUCUCAUACAACACAUGCAUACAGUCCCUGGGUGAUCGUCUCGGUGUUAUACCUUCGAAGCGUGCGUUUCGGGGCGGUUCGAGCUCGGAGCGUAGUAGAGGAAGUAGACGUUCACGUGGCGGCAGUAGUGGAAGUAGUGGUACAUGGCGACGGUAGAGGUACUCGCGAUCUUGGCGACGGUAGUUGUACAUGUCCGGAGAGGAACUUGUCGUGCCCAUGUAGUCGAACUUGGCGUAUCCGAAGGGAACUUGGCGAACAACGGUCGUCGUGGUGCUUGUCGCGUUACGGUUGUGUAGUCGUACAUGGGACUUCGGCGUCGAGGUACUUGGCAUUCCAAAAUGAAGCAACACAAAAGGCCUCAGGUCUUGGGGGUCAACGAAGAGGUCGGUCAUGCCUCGGUCUUGCGGGCAACGAGGGAAGGAGUAGGGGCUUGCUGGGCUUUGAUAAUCCCCAAGUGUAGGGAAUCAUCGUAGCAAUUUCCAAAGGUGGAAGUGAUAAGUAUGGAGUGUCGAACCCACAAGGAGCUAAAGGUAAGAUCAAUAUUAUCUCAAGUCCUAUCUGCCACUAAUAUGACUCUACGUACACCAAACAUUUGCUUCCAACUAGAUACGAGAAAUAAAACUAUGUUGUGGGUAUGAAGAGGAUAACUUUGCAUGACAUCGGGGAGCUAAAAUAUAAAAGUAGGUGUUGUUAUCAUAAAGUUAGAAUAUAUUACUAAAUAUUAUAAAUAGCGAGUGUGGAAUAAUGAUGGAUCGGUGUGCAGAAUUAUCCUAGGCAAUUGUUAACAAGACCGGUAGUUGUCAUUGCAAUUUGAUAUGAGGGAGAGGCAUAAGUUAACAUACUUUCUCUUCUUGUAUCAUAUGCACUUAUGAUUGGAACUCUCGCAAGCAUCCGCAAAUACUAAAUAUCAUUAAGGUAAAACCCAACCAUAGCAUUAAAGCAUCAAGUCCCCUUUAUCCCAUACGCCACAACCCCCUUACUCGGGUUUAUGCUUCUGUCACUCAAGCAACCCACUAUAAGUGAAUCAUGAAUGUAUUGCAACACCCUACAGUGGGAAUCCCUCAUGUUUGCGCGACACGGAGGGCAUAAUAGGACAACACCAAAAUAAGUCAUACAACUCAUACCAAUCUAGAUCAUCAAUCAACCCAAAGACAAAGGAUAUCUACUAAAAACAUCAUUGGAUGGCAACAUAUCAUUGGAUCAUAAUAUGUGGCAUAAAGCACCAUGUUGAAGUAGGGAUUACAGCGGGGUGUGUGAGAGUGGACCGCAUAAAAGAGAUCAGGAUGGUGAUGUUGAUGAAGACGAUCAUCGUGGUGAUGAUUCCCCUCCCGAUGGCACUCCGGCGCCACCAAGAGAGAGAAAGAGAGGUUCUCCCCAUUGUGCUUCUUCCUCCAUGGCCUCCCCCCUGGAUGAGGAGAGGUUCCCCCUCUGGUCCUUGGCCUUCACGGCGAUGAUGGCCCCUCCUGGAUCCUCCUCCAUGGCCUCCAGUGAUGAUGGACUCCUCCGGCAGGGUACCAGAGAGGGCCUAGAUUGAUUUCUCAUGGCUACAAAGGCUUGCGGCAGCGGAACUUCUGAUCUAGAUUAUUUUCUGGAGGUUUGUGUAUUUAUAGGAGAGGUUGGCGUUGAUUUCAAGUCAGGGGGGUCUUCGGGCUGUCACGAGGCAGGGGGCGCGCCCCAGGGGGUGGGUGCGCCCCCACCCUUGUGGGCAGCCCGGGACUCUUUUGGCCCAACUCUUGCACUCCGGGAGCUUCUUUUGGUCCAUAAAAAUUCAUCGAAAAUUGGCACGUUAGUUGGACUCCGUUUGGUAUUCCUUUUCUGUAAAACUCAAAACAAGGAGAAAACAGAAACUGGCACUGGGCUCUAGGUUAAUAGGUUAGUCCCAAAAAUCAUAUAAAAUAGCAUAUAAAUGCAUAUAAAACAUCCUAGAUGGAUAAUAUAAUAGCAUGAAUACUUCAUAAAUUAUAGAUAUGUUGGAGAAGUAUCAGCAUCCCCAAGCUUAAUUCCCGCUUGUCCACGAGUAGGUAAAUGAUAAAAGAAAUAAUUUAUGAAGUGUGAAUGCUAGCAGGUGCACAAGUUUGAUCAAUGAUAAUUUCAGUCACCUUUUCUAGCAUCAUUAUAUGUCAUAACAGUCGCUCAUCUCAUAAAACUUCUCAUGAUCAAGUAACAAGCUAUUCACAUGUUAAGGUAUAGAUCACAAACUUUCUUGAAACUAACAAACUAUAUUCUCAGUCAUCCAACAACUGCAAUUCAUCUUAUUUUCAGUAAGGGUCUAUAUCAGAGCUUUGAUCCAGCAAACUCCACAUACUCAAAUAUCAUUUAAUCUUUCACAAUUGCUAACACUCACGUCAUAUUUAUGGGUUCAAAGUUUUAAUCGGACACAGAGAAAGAUAGGGGCUUAUAGAUUUGCCUCCCAACCUUUUACCUCAAGGGUAAAGUCAACAAUAAUAUUUCAUGAUAACUUACAUCCAAUUGGAUAUAUAUAUUAGGAUCUUUCCAACACAAUGCGCUUGCCAAAGGAUAAAAUGUAAAAAGGAAAGGUGAAGAUCACCAUGACUCUUGUAUAAGGUAAAAGACAAGACGCAGAGGUUGUCAUGUGCUUUUAAGGUUGGAUGCACAAAAUCUUAAUGCAAAAGAACGUCACUUUAUAUUGCCUCUUAUGAUAGAGACCUUUAUUAUGUAGUCCGUUGCUUUUAUUUCUUCCCUAUCACAAGUUCGUAUAAAGCUUAUUUUCUUCGCACUAAUAGAUCAUACAUAUUUAGAGAGCAAUUUUUAUUGCAUGCACUGAUGACAACUUACUUGAAGGAUCUUACUCAAUCCAUAGGUAGGUAUGGUGGACUCUCAUGGCAAAACUAGUUUAAGGGAUAUUCGGAAGAACAAGUAGUAUCUCUACUUGGUGCAAAGAAUUUGUCUAGCAUGAGGGGGAAAGGCAAGCUCAGCAUGUUGGAUGAUCCAUGACAAUAUACUUUAUUUCGGAUAUAAGAAAACAUAACCCAUUAUGUUGUCUUCCUUGUCCAACGUCAACCUUUUAGCAUGUCAUAUUUUAAUGAGUUCUCACAAUUACAAAAGAUGUCCAAGAUAGUAUAUUUAUAUGUGAAAUCUCUCUUCCUUCAAUAUUCUUUCAUGAAUUGUUCAAGUGACCAAUUCUGUGUUUGCUAACUUUCAAUAAGUUUACUACCUAUACUUAUUACGUGUGAAAUCAUUACUCCCCAUGGUAUAAGCAUAUGAAACAUAUAUAAAUUCAGAUUUAUGAUAUUCAACUCAUUCAACCAUUUACUCAUGGGAUAUACAUGAAACACGUGAGUCAAUGACAAACUACUUCGAAAGAUAUAAGUGAAGAACACUGAGUAGUCAAAUAAUUAACUAGCCAUGGGAGGAUUCUUUUUCAUUCAAGAUUUAAGAUCCAAUGAUUUUAUUCAAACAGCAAGUAAAAUUGAAAAUACGCUCCAAGCAAAACACAUAUCAUGUGACGAAUAAAAAUAUAGCUCCAAGUAAGGUAUACCGAUAGUUUUGAAGACGAAAGAGGGGAUGCCUUCCUGGGCAUCCCCAAGCUUGGGCGCUUGAGUCUUCCUUGAAUAUUACCUUGCGGUGCCUUAGGAAUCCCCAAGCUUACGGUCUUUACACUCCUUAUUCUCCUCAUAUCGAUAUCUCACCCAAAGCUUCAAAACUUCAAUCACAUAAAACUUAACGGAACUUCGUGAGAUAGGUUAGUAUGAUAAAGAGUAAACCAUUCACUUUGGUACUGUCAAAGACAAGGUUCAUAAUUUUUCUCACACAAUGCCUACUGUACCAUGUCAUUUCUACAAUUUAUAUUGAGAAAUAUAAGCCAUAGAAACUAGAAAACAAGCAAACUAUGCAAUGAAAACAGAAUCUGUCAGAAACAGAACAGUCUGUAAUUAUCUGAACAAUAACCACACUUCUUCUACUCCAAAAAUUAUGAAAUAAAUUGGUGGAUGUGAGGAAUUUGUCUAUUGAUCUUCUGCAAAAAUAAUCAACUCAAAAUCACUCUUCAGUAAAAAAUGGCAGCUAAUCCCGUGAGCGCAAAGUUUCUGUUUUUUACAGCAAGAUCACAUUAACCUUCAUCCGAGUCUUCCCAAAGGUCUUACUUGGCACUUUAUUGAAAUAAAAGCUAUAAAACAUGAUUAAUACAGUAGCUUAAUAAUGUGGAAACACAAAAAUAGUAAAGGUAAAUAUUGGGUUGUCUCCCAACAAGCGCUUUUCUUUAAUGCCUUUUAGCUAGGCAUGAUGAUUUCAAUGAUGCUCACAUAAAAGAAAAGAAUUGAAACAUAGAGAGAGCAUCAUGAAGAAUAUUACUAGAAUAUUUAAAUCUAACCCACUUCCUAUGCCUAGGGAUUUUGUGAGCACAUAAUUUAUAGGAACAAGAAUCAACUAGCAUAGGAAGGCAAAACAAGUAUAACUUGAAAACUUUAAGCACAUAGAGAGGAAACUUGGUAUUAUUGCAACUCCUACAAGCAUAAAUUACUCCCUCAUAAUAAUUUUCAGUAGCAUCAUGAAUGAAUUCAACAAUAUAACCAUCACAUAAAGCAUUCUUUUCAUGAUCUACAAGCAUAGAAAUUUUUCUACUCUCCACAUAAGCAAAAUUCUUCUCAUUCGGAAUAGUGGGAUCACUAAUUCCUAAAGUUGACACUCUUCCAAACCCACUUUAGAUGAUAGUAUUAUUCAUGAUCCAAAAUAUAUAAGUGAAGUUCAUGGAGCAUUCUACAAUUAAUAUAGACUAACCAAUAUCCAAGCUCAAAAUAUGUAAGUGAAGCACACGAAGCAUUCUAUAAAACCAUACUCAAAAGAUUUAAGUGAAGCACAAAGAGCAAUUCUAUAAGAUCAUACUUAAAAGAUAUAAGUGAAGCACAUGAAGUAUUCUAUAAAUCAAUGAAUGGCUAACUCAUACUAGCAUGGUUCUUAAAGGAAAUAAAAAAACACAAAGGGCACAAAUCAUGUGAACAAAACAAAAACCGAGGUAUACUGAUAUUUGUUGAAGAAGAAAGAUGGGAUGCCAACCAGGGCAUCCCCAAGCUUAGAUGCUUGAGUAUACUUUGAAAUAUUUACUUGGGGUGCCUUGGGAAUCCCCAAGAUUGAACUCUUGCCUCUCUUUAUUCUUCUCAUAUUGAUAGCUCCUCGAUCUUCGAACACUUCAUCCACACAAAACUUUAACAAAAACUUUGUGAGAUCCGUUAGUGUAAAAAAGCAAACUACCACUUUAAGGUACUGUAAUGAACUCAUUAUUUAUUUAUAUUGGUAUUAAACCUACUGUAUUUCAACUUCUCUAUGGUUCAUACCCCCCGAUACUAGCCAUAGAUUCAUCAAAAUAAGCAAACAACACGCGAAAAACAGAAUCUGUCAAAAACAGGACAGUCUGUAGUAAUCUGGAAGUUUUGUAAACUUCUGUAACUCCAAAAAUUAUAAAAUAAAUAUGAAAAUUUGAAUAAUGUUUUCACAAGUAAUGUGAAAAAAGUUUCAGACCCAUUUCACCUGCCAGUAAAAAACGUAAAAUCACGCGCUACAGCCAAAGUUUCUGUUUUUGUUCUGCACAUAGUAAACAAGCAAUCUAAUCAUCCUAAAACCAAAGCUUGGCACAUUAUUUUUAUAAUACAAUGGAUAUAUACAAGGGGAUAAUUAUUUACAUAUAAACUUCCAUGAAAAAUUCUACAUUGUUUCCGUGAGCAUGAACACAAGUGCUCAAGGUCGACCCUCACUUCUUCAAUGCAUAACUUUCCAAUCACAUCUCUUUUUGAAAAACUUUUUUAGGCAUGAAGAGGCAAGUAUUUUUUUUUGUAUUUUCAUUCUUUAAUUUUUUUUGUAUGUUUCACCCACAACUAAACAGAAACAAAAAGUAAAAACAAAAUCUACUUAGUGAAGAAAGCAAACAAGCACACACGAGAAUAUCAACCCCACGCUAUUGCUCCCCGACGACGGCGCCAAAAAAGAGCUUGAUAAUCCCCAAGUGCAGGGAAUCAUCAUAGCAAUUUCCAAAGGUGGAAGUGAUAAGUAUGGAGUGUCGAACCCACAAGGAGCUAAAGGUAAGAUCGAAAUUCUCUCAAGUCCUAUCUGCCACUGAUACGACUCUAUGUACACCGAACGUUUGCUUCCAACUAGAUACGAGAAAUAAAACUAUGUUGUGGGUAUGAAGAGGAUAACUUUGCAUGAUAUCGGAGAAUUAAAAUAUAAAAGUAGUUGAUGUUAUCAUAAAGUUAGAAUAUAUUACUAAAUAUUAUAAAUAGCAAGUGUGGAAUAAUGAUGGAUCGGUGUGCGGAAUUAUCCUAGGCAAUUGUUAACAAGACCGGUAGUCGUCAUUGCAAUUGCAUAUGAGGGAGAGGCAUAAGCUAACAUACUUUCUCUUCUUGGAACAUAUGCACUUAUGAUUGGAACUCUAGCAAGCAUCCGCAACUACUAAAGAUCAUUAAGGUAAAACCCAACCAUAGCAUUAAAGCAUCAAGUCCCCUUUAUCCCAUACACCACAACCCCCUUACUCAGGCUUAUGCUUCUGUCACUCAAGCAACCCACUAUAAGCGAAUCAUGAAUGUAUUACAACACCCUACAGCGGGAAUCCCUCACGCUUGCACGACACGGAGGGCACAAUAGGACAGCACCAAAAUAAAUCAUAUAACUCAUACCAAUCUAGAUCAUCAAUCAACCCAAAGAUGAAGGAUAUCUACUCAAAACAUCAUAGGAUGGAAACACAUCAUUGGAUCAUAAUAUGUGGCAUGAAGCACCAUGUUCAAGUAGGGAUUACAGCAGGGUGCGGUAGAGUGGACCGCGUAAAAGAGAUGAGGAUGGUGAUGAUGAUGUUGAUGUUGAUGAAGACAAUCACCGCGGUGAUGAUUCCCCUCCCGAUGGCACUCCGGCGCCACCGAGAGAGAGGAGGAGAGGUUCUCCCCCUUGUGCUUCCUCCUCCAUGGCCUCCCCCCUGGAUGGGGAGAGGUUCACCCUCUGGUCCUUUGCCUUCAUGGCGAUGAUGGCCCCUCCGAGAUCCUCCUCCAUGGCCUCCGGUGAUGAUGGCCCCCUCCGGCAGGGUGCCAGAGAGGGGCUAGAUUGAUUUCUCGUGGCUACAGAGGCUUGCAGCGGCAGAACUUCUGAUCUAGGUUAUUUUCUGGAGGUUUCUGUAUCUAUAGGAGAGGUUGGCAUUGAUUUCAAGUCAGGAGGGCUUUCGGGCUGUCCACGAGGCAGGUGGGCAUGCCCAGGGGGGUGGGUGCGCCCCCACCCUCAUGGGCAGCCCAGGACUCUUCUAGCCCAACUCUUGCACUCCAAGGGCUUCUUUUGGUGCUUAAAAAUUCAUCAAAAAUUGGCACAUCAGUUGGACUCCGUUUGGUAUUCCUUUUCUGUAAAACUCAAAAACAAGGAGAAAACAGAAACUGGCACUGGGCUCUAGGUUAAUAGGUUAGUCCCGAAAAUCAUAUAAAAUAGCAUAUAAAUGCAUAUAAAACAUCCUAGAUGGAUAAUAUAAUAGCAUGAAUACUUCAUAGAUUAUAGAUACGUUGGAGACGUAUCAGGCUCUGGUGGCUUGCAACUGCGGUAGCUUGCCAGGAGACAUGCUCCAUGGAUGGAGGAAGCUUGGACACGGGUGUGAACUGCAAGGCGGUGGCGGCAGGGGAUCCCAUGGCAAGGGGCUGCAGGGGUGCAGCUGGAGAUGGUGGAGGAGGUCACGGGAAGCUGAUCCAGACCGGAUCCGGGCAAAGGAGGGUCGGCCUGGGCGCAGGAGGAGGAGGAGGAUGGCGGGGACAGGGGACCAUCGGACGGCCAUGGCGUGGAGCAGGAGACGGCCAGGGUGCCUUGGCGCAAUGGAGGCAGAGCAGAGGAGGGUCGCGGCGGCGCGCUUCCUGGUCGGAGUAGGUGCGGCGGAGCGGAGCAGAGCAGCAGCGCUCGGGUCUCACGCAGGAGGCAGGGAAGGAGCUGCGCAAGGGAGGAGGUCGAGGCCGGAGGCGCAACAGCAGGAGAGGAAGGUGACGCGAGGAAGAAGGAGGGGAUCGAGGGAGUUGGGGAUCGGUGCGCAAGAGUGGGAUCACGCAAGUGGCAGCAGGGAGAGAGUGAGGGGAUCGGGAGGAGGCUAGGGUUAAGAUGGGGAUGACUGGGCUGGGCUAGCUGCGCGAAUGGGCUGGCCUAGAUGGUCAGGCCCAAGAGGCUGGCGGCUGGGUCCUCUCUCUCUCUCUCUUUCUCCCUUCUUCAAAUCUCUUCCAAAAACAAAAAAGCAAAGAAAGAAAAGGAGAGAAAAGAAAUGAGUGGACAAGAAUUUGGUCAUGGGGAUAAUUUUCCCAGACUCGCAAAAAUGCGCUUGUUCCAAGAAAAAUGGCGUGCACAUGAUUGCAGGAAUGAAAUUCAAAUGGGUUUGAACUAGGACUGGGUUUUUGAAGUGCCCAAAAAUGUUGAGGAUUUUGGUGGAGCUCGGGAAAGUGAUGAAAGAAUUUAUGGACAAAGUUUGAGGUCAAGAAGUGAGAUAACAAAGGCAUGGAAUUUUUUGCAAUUGUGUUAUGGUGAAUUCCAAAUUAAUGGAAUAUUUAAUAAUAGCUCCCUGAUAUUGGGAGGAUAUGUUAUAAAGAGAAAUCACCAUUGUGAAUAUCCCUCAAUUUAAAUGGACCGAGGAUCCACACGAUUUAUUUAGUUGAGUUUCAAAAAGGGUUGCAUGAUGACAUGAUGCAAUGAUGAAUGCAUGACAUGAACAAAAUGCAAAACGAAGACAAAAACCCAAACAUGAAUGAAAUAUCAUAUAACACAGCCGGAAAUGGCAAGAGUUGGAGUUACAAUAAUGGAAACUUACAUCCGGGGUGUUACAACACUCCACCACUACAAGAGGAUAUCGUCACGAGAUCUAGGAUGGCACCAGAGAGAAACGGAAGAAGAAGAGAAGAUGUAAAACUAAGUUGCUUCUUCGACAAAUGAGUGAAACCAAAGAACCUUGAGACAUUGAAAAGUUGAAAGAAAGAACACAACGGAGUUGAACACAAUUGAGAGCACUGCGGUAGAAAAUAGAAACAAGGAACACCAUGUGAACCUUGGAUGUUGCAAAGCUAUGAAUGACGAGUACAAUGGACAAGAAGGAAUUGGAACCACUCUGGUUGAAACGAGAUAAACAAGGAACAAGGAAGAUCAAAUUCGGACAACACUCCGGUUGAAAAGAGAUGCAAGACUUGAUAAGAUGAAAAGAACUUGAAGAGAUGACACCACACUCCGGUUAAAUGGAUAAGGACAAAAAGAACACGAUCCUCAGAAUUCGAGAUGAUGAGUGAAAAGAGCAACAUCACAAUGCCUCCGGAAGAAAGAAUAGAAGAUAGAUCAUUGGAAUAACAGAAUGGAGGAGAAAAUUCCAACUUCUGCCUCAAAUGAGCUUGGAAAGCACCCUUCCAAGAAGGUUAUAACGGAGUUAUUGGAAAACCAACAACGAAAUGAAUAAGCUUGUAGUGGGCUUAUGGAAAACUUCUCAAAAUUGAGGCGAAAUUCUGCCACUACGGAAACAAAUAAUAUAAUUGAUAACACCAAUGAGAUGAAAAAUUUCUUCCACCAAGGUGACAGAGAGAUAACUUGGAUCAUUGAUAAACACCACAAUAGCAACAUUCCUUAGGGAAGGCUUUAGGUGAAAUAUGACACAAGAUAACUCCAACGAAGAGAUUAAUGGAUUUAAAAUACCUCAUUCUUGACAACAUGGAAUCGCGAAACAUGAAUGGAAAUUGUCAAGAAUGAUAUAACGCCAUCUCAAAAGAUAAGGUAGAAAGAAUUGCACUUGGGAAUGCAAGAAGAAGAAUACUUGAACUCCUCAGAAAAAAAACAUGUGUUGGGAACCAUGUUUAUUUUUUAGUAUAGCUUGGCGGAUCUUAGCUUAGAGAGAAAUCUUGAAGAACAAUUGAAGAAUGAAAGGAAUCCUUGACGAACCACCAUGUAGAGCCUCCAUGAAGAACUCCGGUAAUAAAAGGAUGAUAAAAAGAAAGAGAAGUUGAAAACACAAGGUGAAGCCUUGCAAUGAUUUAGAUGGAGCUUUGCGACGAGAUAAUGCGGAAAACUUGGAACUCUGGAAAAGAAAAGAUGAAGCAUCUUGAACCGAGAAAUGUGACAUGAUGAACAACUCUGGAAAGAAGAAACUAGAUCACUUGGGUGAAACAAAAAUAAGAAUUAUGUUAUGCGUAUUCUUCACCAAUUUAAAUUGAUGACAAGCAACGGAUUUGGCACACUACUUAUUCUUCUUAAGGGAUUAAAAAUAGACAUAGCGCAAACUUGGGAAAAACUUGAACAAACCACCGGUAGUAUUGAAACAACAAAUAAAUUAAUAUGAGAACAUAGGAAGAGGAAUCUUCAACAAACCGCCGUAAGAAUUGAAAAUGAAAGUAGCAAAGGCACCAUUCACCAGGAAGAAUUGGAAAAUGAAUGAAGAUACUUGAGGGGAUUUAGAACAUGAGAACAAAGAGAUCAUGAACUGAUUAGAGGAUAUUUGAACAGUGCACCGGUAGAAUAUGGAGAACGAGAGCUAAAAGCUGAGAAUGAAUAAUUCUGAGAUGAUGGGCUCUGGAGAAUCAACCUAAAAAGACUCCCGAAUUGCUCCGGAUGGGUGAAAAGAAUUCUCACAAUCGAAAACAAUUAUGAGAGGAUGGCAUAAAGCUAGAACCAUGAAUCUUCAAGAGAACAAACAAGAUUUAAGAGAAACUCUUCUUCGGACUUCAAUGCUGAGAAUGACGAGGAGAAACACCACCAAAUUGUUGAGACACUCCGGAUGAAUGAAAAGAUAAUAGGUUGAGCCAAAGAUGAAGAUAAUUUAAAAGCGGUCUUGGAGAAGGCAUGUGACUGACGAAAAUUCAUUCUUACAUCAAACUUUAAAAGAUUUGAGAAUAGCUCCAAAAAAAAAA
rnacentral:lncRNA from 1 species